CCUCCUAAAAAUCUAAAACUUCCUUACGCUUAGGCCCAAUAUGCUUUAAGGUCAUAUCUCCCUUCCCUUUAGGCUCCCCUUUCCAACAAUAAAUGUCGGGUUAUAUAAGCACCGAUUUUGAGUUUUAAGAAUAGAUAGAAAGCUAGACUGCCCACAGUUUAUACGAAAACAAGGAAAAGAGCUAGCUUGCCCAGGCCACACAUGAAAUGGAUAUGACAUGGCAAUGCGCAAACGGCCCAUCCAUUUCCUGAGCUCAACAUUACAAGUCAAUGAAGAAACGACGUGAAGAAAUUAGCAAAGUUAUGUCUUUUAUAAGAAGGAAUUGGCAAAGUUAAAUGUCCACAAAAGUUGUGAUUUUUAAUCCUAAUCUUGUGAGUUGUUAAUCCUCGAGCAGCAGGUGUUGAAUUGGCACUGAAAAAACAGGCUCUCCAACCCUAAAUGGAGUUUUAGAUGACACAUAUUAUUGCUAGACUGCGAGUCUAUGGAUAUAGACAUGACGACAAUGUUUCGCAUCAUCGCGAAAUUUGAGGAGGAUAACUUGGACGGACAACUGUGAAAUCGAUAAAAGCACAUAUCAACUUCGAAAAGCCUCGAUUCUACUCGCAUAUUAUUAUUAUAAUAACUUCAAAACUAUUGGUGGCUUCACUUUCGUUAUCAAAGGGUAAAUAAAUUGUUUUUGUUUACUUAAUUCAAGAGGAAAAGGUCUGUUUUUUCUCAAAUCUCAGAAGAAAUUCGAGAUUUGAGUCUAAACUUCUAGCCAAAAAUUGCACGAGAGAAGAAAGAAGAGAAGGGAUGUUCGCCUACCUAGCCUACUCCUUCCUCUAAAAUAUUUUAUCAAUGGAGGAAUAAUAUCAUUUUUUUUAAUUAGAAAAAAAAACGAUUUUGAUCUAGGAUGUGAUAACUUUAAUUCAUCGAAGGAAAACCCCAACCUUAUCUAGUGUUCAGAAAUGACUCCACAUGCAGAGACUAGUCACUUGAACAUUCAAUCGAGAGAAAACCCACAAGCUCCACAAGAAUGCUAGUCACUUCUGUCCCUCGAUCUUAAAAUCGGCCUCUUCGACUCAGCCUCUCUCUUUUUAGCGCACCAAUUUAUUAACCCUAUUUAUUGAGCAUCCGUACCCUCCCUGUUACAGCAAUUGAGAUAAAAUUAAGAACAAUCCAAUAAAGUUACUAAAAAAAAAAAGUGGAAUAUCAAUGAAAGAGAGCUAAAGAUCUGGUGUUGCUCACGCCUCCGAUAGUGCGGAUUGGGAGACACUCCUUUUAAUUAGGGGAAAGGGAGUGUGUUGUGAAAGAGGAGAUGACACCAUGUACUCGAAAGGUCUUUAAAGGGUCCUAAGCGGAUUAGCAAAGGGACAAAUUUCCCUGAGGAACCUGACACAACAGUUCAAGCCUGUAGUCGGCCAUCAAGUAUGGUAUGGACCCAUGUAGACACCUAACCAUGCUACACGGCUCCCUCUUUUUCUCCAAAUCUUUUCUCCUUUUUCUUCCAUUUUGUAAAUAUACUUUUGGCCUUGAUGUCUCAUGAGUACAGGUUCACUCAAGACACUCUUCCUAGAGACCCGUUCAAUCCACGGGUCUCUCGGUACAAAUUUAAUGCGCAGACUAUUUGGUAGGGCAAUUAAUUAAUUUUACUUGGUCUUGUACAUUAAUUAGUCAUCGCAUGUUAUUAAUUUCCAAAAAAAAAAACACAAUAAACAGAACACAACCCAAUAUAGGUCAAUGUAAAAGCACAUGCCGGCCCAGCAUUUACUUCCCCAUGUUUCCACAUUUCCUCCUUGUUCGAAUUUUGUUUAGCACUUCAUCCAUGCAUUUCCUUUGCAAACAAGCCACCUCCAAUACCACCAUCAUACCGAACUCACUAUUUAUUACCGGUUUGUGUGUGUGUGUGUGUGUCUGUGUGUGUGUCUGUGUCUGUAUAUACAUAUCCUAUGCAUGAGUUUUUGUAGCUAUCAGUCAUUUCCUUUGUAAACCUUCUGGCUUACUACACCCUCCCUCUCCUGUCGGACUCUCUCUCUCUCUCUCUCUCUCUCUCCCCCUCCCUCCUUAUACAGUCUUCGUUUGUUUUUGGGUUGCUUAUAUGGGGAGGAGUCAUCUGGUUCUAGUUCUAUGGUUACUCUUGCUCGCACCAUUUGUUAGUCAUACUUAUGGCUCGAGGCAGACUAAGAUUUUCAAGAUGAUUGAACCGAAUUCUCAGAAUUCUUCACCGGGUACUUUCUCGGGGUUCUUCCCGAAGGGAAUGCCGAUCCCCCCAUCUGGUCCUUCGAAGAAGCACAAUGACAUCGGUUUGCGAAGUUCCGAGCCAUUGCCAUGAAUAAGAGUCCACGACUCGAGUGAUUAAUUACUUGUGUCUUUCAAUUGUUUCACCACUCAUAGAAGCAGGGUAUGUGUAUCACUAGAUGGGGACUGGCUAUUAGGUUAUUUGUUCAACUUCUUGGCAUUUCUCUUCUUUUUGCUCCAUCUCAUGAGAGAACUUUUUAUUUUUGUUAAAGAUCUCAUGAUCAUGAGGAAGCAAAGGUUAGUUACUCAAGCUUACAGAGAAACAUCGUCUAGUAUGGACUUUCCUUCUCUUGAAGGAUAUUCUAAGAUAGUUUUAGCAUUUGCUUAUCUCGUUCCUGGUUGGAAUAGAAUGACAGAGACAAAACUGAAAGGAAAAUAUUUUUUUUGUAAACACAUCUAUAAAUAUUUGUAACAAACUUGCAGUAUUCUUUUCGUCCUGCCUGCCUGCCUAUAUAGUUUCUUAUCUCGCCAAGUCUAGAAUUGCUGAGGCAUUCUUGGAUUUUAGACCUUUUUGAAUUUCAUUAUUUUGUUACUUCAUCAUUCGUGACAUGUAAUUGUUCUUCCGAUAUACAUGAUCCAACCCUUUUUACAAAGUCGAUGCUGCUGUUAUUCUACUCGUACUGCAUAAUUAAUGGGCUCGGCGGAUUCUCAUGAUUAAUCUCUUAGCUUUGCUGACCUGAACUGUGAAUGCGUGCAAGAAAUAAACAGUUGAUCAAAGUGACCUUACACACUCAUGAGCUAUGCAAAGGAGGGACAAUGGCGGUACCAUGUUCCUUUCCUUUUGAUUGAUCUGAUAUAACAUUUAGUACUCGAUUGGGUGUUGGUGGUGGUAUUUAUGGUUGUUUUUUAUAAAAUUUUAUUUUUAAAAAAUUAAUAUAUUUUAGUAUUUUUAGUUAAUAUUAAAAUAAAUUUUAAAAAAUAAAAAAAUAUUAUUUAAAUAUAAGUUAUACCAUAACGCCAUGGUUUAUAUUUGUAAGGUAUGGUGGUGAUUAAACGACCAGUAUCUCAACCUCCACCAUGCAUAUUUCACUGCAUAAGCUUUUAGCUUUAUCUCAAGGCCGGCUGCUAGUGGUACGGCUGCUAGGUAGACAUGAAGCUACAAGCAAAGACUUUGAAGUAAGUAACGUUGUUACAGUGAUGACGGAAGCGACACCAUAGGAUGUACAAAGGUCUGCUCUGAGCAUUUAUGAUACUCGUUCAGUGCUGGAACCCACACGUAACUUUAUAGGUGUUUUAUAAUUCUUCUCACAGUUUAAAAAAAAGUUUCGAGAUAAAUCAUACGUUUUAGAAAAGUAUUUGUAAAAUAUAAUAGUUUAAAUACAAAUGCUAUUCAUUUAUAUAAAAAAAAAUUAUUCAAAUUUUCAUGAAAAGUUUUAAAAAUAAAAUUUAAAUUUAAUAGCAAAAAAAAAAAUAGAUCGCCAAGAAUAUAUUAUAACUUUGUUUUUGACAUACCUAACACUUUAAGAUACAAUUCUAACCAAAAAAAUUUUAAAAACAUAAUUUUAAUUUAUUAGAGGUUUUGUUCAUAAUUAAUAUAGAAUUAAUUAUAAUCUUAUUUAAUAGUUUUUAAAAUAUAAUUAAAAUUAUCAUCAAAUAUAUCAAAAGUAAAUUCUCGUUAUUCACAAUGAUAUAUAUAUAUAUAUAUAUAUAUAUAUAUAUAUAUAUAUAUAUAUAUUAUUAUUACUAAUGAUUUAUUUUUUCUUACUUUAUUUCUCUUUAGGACCACAUUACUUUACCUUCUUAUCUCCUUAUCCAUAUUAAAUCUUAUCUUUUAAUCAUUAAUUUUUUAUAAAAUUUUAAAUUAACUUUUGAUGAAAUUAAUUUAUUUUUUUUAAAAAAAAAAAAAAAACAUCACGAUACAAACACUUCAACCAAUUCUCAAUAGCGAUUCUACACCAUUAAUAUUGGAAAUUAUGCUCACACUAUUAUUUUUUAAAUAUUUUUUUAAUCUAUAUUAUUCUCUCACAAUUUUUAACAAUUUACGUUAUUUUCCAAAAAAAUAAAAAAUCCUAACUAUUCAAAAGGUUUUCCGCAGUACCCGACGAUUCUACGAACUUCGAUCCCAGACGAUAUUGUUACAACCAUGUGAGAUCAGGCUAGGAUGCGAGAUGUAGUCAAGACAAUAGAUCCAGAAAUUGAAAGUACAAAAUGGUUGCUACAUCCAGGGUGAUACAGGAAAGGAAGUAAUAUUACUUGAUUGAUUAUUUUAACUACCAAAUGCUCAGUAUUUCAUGGCCAAAUCCAUAGUUUUAAAACCUAAUCUGACCUCAACCUGAAACUCAGGACUGAAACUGAACCCAGGUUUAUAAAAAAAUAAAUAUAAUUAAAAACUUGAUUGACCUGGUAAGUUUACCAGUGACCCGAUCAAAACUCAUGUCACUGAUCAAAACUCAUAACCCAAGCUUUGAACGAGAUCAGCCACUGGGACCGGUUUAAAAAUCACUGGCCAAAACCACACAAUUUGAAACCGUUGUACGGCGCAGCCACAGCUGAUUGGCAUUUGCUGUGUUGUCUAUGAUCUGAUUUAAACUUGUCUAAAACAAUGAAAUGGCAGGUCAAGGUAUUCGGGGAAAAUCCUGCAAAUAAACCUUCCCAUAACAAAGAGGAUUGAUAUAAAAGGGACCCAAAAACUCAGUAUGGAUGGCUGGAAAGCCAGGAACAAAAACUUUCUUGCCUGGAUUGUCGCAAUUGAUGCUUUUUAUAUACACUACAAUACAAUAGAUAUAAAAGGGUUAGAUACCCCAGCAGAAUUAAAUGGAAGAAAUAAAUUGAGGAGGGGAUGAGAGGAGGAGAACAUCAAUCAAAAGAAAAGAGGACAGAGAGAGGGCUAUUGGCUUUCCUUCAUCUUUGCUUAACCUUAAAACCGUUUGUUUUCGAAGGUGCAAGAUGUGCUAACAGACUCCCCCUCCAGCAUUCUGUUGCUAAGGUAGAGAAGCAGAGGACAUGCCUCCCUCUGAUCUGCGAGCUGCCUGGCCACUAACUGAUGAUUUGUCUGAACCUCUAACAUUGUACUUCUCAUACACUUUUUCACGAUUCUCCGACCACCAAGUUUCUGCUUGGUGCUCCCCAAAUCUUCUCCGACUGCAGAUAAAUUAAUAGGGACAGACAUAAAUGAAACGAUUAAGAGAUCAAAUCAGCUCUGAUUAAGAUGAUUUCAAACCUUUGCAAGGUGAAACGUUGAUGUAAUACUAUCAAAGCUCAUGUUCAGAAUGAUCUAUGAUUGUUUAUAAAAAUGCAAUCUUGAAUUAUAAAAAAAGCCUAUCAGCAACGUCAUGUUAACCAAUUGUUUAGAUUUCUUCUAGCUCUAUGCCAUACAAAAUGAGUGAGUCAUUAAUAUCUAAAAUAAAAUGAAAUAAAGUACCUGAAGCGCACUCGUUUGAGAUCUCUAGUUCCGUCGCGCAGGGAAACAAGAGUGAUAUACACUCCAGGCUCAUACUGUUCAAUCCACUCAGCCUCAACAUGAUUACCAUUAGCAACCGAUGAUGAAUCCCUCGAUUUCAUACUAUUCUCGCCAUCUUGAGGAGACCGAGGUUCCUUCCUGGCAACAGCAUCUGACACAGUAUUACAACUUGGCUGAUCCCCUCCACCAUUGGACAGUCUCACAUCUGGAUGGUCAUCCCUCCCAUUGGCUCCAGGUGAAUCCCGGACUGACUGAGUGAUACCUAGAGUUCCAUUUAUUGAAAUUGAGUCGAUCCUUGUCGGGGAAGCCAAGGAAGUUCCACUGAUAGAAUCAGAUCUUGAAUGCCGUUCUCCAUUUGCAUCAGGAAAAUGAAUGCCAUUUGUCUCCAAACCAUUUGCUAUGUAAGCUGGUCUCAGGCUCUCAGUGUCAUAGACCCCAGGCGGCAGCCUCUCAGCCAUAUCCUUGAGCUGGAAUUGAUAAGUGUAGAAAUCAUUAGUACAAAACAAGAGUAAGUCAAGAAAAAGAGAGGAAAAUUUCUAACAAUAUAAAAGACAAGGAUAUUCUCUAAUGGCUAUAAUGGGAAUGUUAGCUACCUAAAUUAACGGCAACCAGUGUUUCAUUCCUUCAGAAAUCUAUUCUAUCAAAUUCAUAUAGAUUUGAUGGGGUGGAUGCAUAUCGUGACAUACAUCAUAAUCAUGGUACAGAGGAGAUCAAACAAAAAUUUCCAAAAUUCAUUAACACGGAACCAAUGAUCAGUGGGCAAAAGCAGACUUACCUGUGCAGUAAGUGACUUUAUAACAUCUUUUGCAGCUUUGGACUUAGCUGAUUCGUCGGCGGCUACUGCCAUAGCUUCUUGUACCUUCUUAGCAGAUUUCUGGAGCUCUGAUUCUUGGAAUUCACAUCUCUGUCUUAGGCUCUCAACCUAAACAAGAUCAAUACGCAUGAAUGAUCAAACCCGGCCCAAAACAUAAAAACCUGACUUAAUUCAUACAGAAACAUGUGAUUAAUUUUUGCGGAAAACUCAGCCAGCAUACCUGUGUACGCAGCUUAAGCACUUCUUGAUUCAAAAGUUCGUUUGUUUUCUUCAAACUAUCAGCUAUACUUUUGGAAAAGGAAAGUCCUGACGUUGUUGGGACAGGCGUUGCAGAACGUGGGGGGCUAGGUCUCCUUGAGAAGGGCGACACGGAUCUGGAACUUACUCCAGAUGGUGUAAGAACAGGUUUGGGAACCUUUGGUCGCAGAUCAAUAGUGGUAGACAAAACAACAUCUUUCAGCUGCAACAAAGAAGGUGCUUGAGAAGACCGAACAAGAGAAAACGUAUCAGCUUUCUUUCCUUGUUUGGCUGCUUUGCUAUCUAAUUGCUUAAUCAAAUCCAAAUUUGAAGGCGUUGUUAACUUCGACAACCUUAAAUCAGCCUUGUCCAGCCUGUCCUUGUUUUCACCUGAAAGGCGAGGUCCAGCAUUUCUUCUGUUGGUGUUACUAGCAUCCGACACCUUAUUUAGUUUGGUAAAACAGGAAUCACAGACACGAUAUGGUUUGCUGGGAUUAGGAGCUAAGGCUGCUCUUGUUGCUUUUCUGGAACUGCAUGAAUGGCAGUGAACAAGUCCACAGUUAUAGCAGUUAUGCCUUUUACGUGUGAACCCAAAAGCCUGUCUGCAGGAUGAACAUUGAGAUUGCUCAGAACCAGAUACCCAUUUAUGGAGGCAUAUAGCUGCAGAAUAGUUUGCACCGCAUGCAAUAUAUUUCACAUGUUUAUCCUUCAAAGCUUCAACUAGAGUAGGUGUUUUUCGAUCUUCACCAUCUCCAUGACCCAACCUGCCAUUGGCACCCUUUCCCCAGGUAUAAACCUCAUUUCUGGAUGUCAAAACCGCUACAUGAUAUGCACCACAAGCAAUUUCUUCAACAGAUUCUCCAGAAAGCUUAUCUUCUACCAAGCAGGGUACCUUUCCAUCAGCAUAAGGAUUUCCAAGUUGACCAUAAACAGUACUGCCCAUUGUGAAUACAUCUCCCGAUGUGGUCAAGCCAACAGUUAAACUAUGUCCACAAGCAAUUUUGUGAAAAUUGUAAUCAAUUAAUGCUGGCACACAUGUGGGUUUAAGCUUAGGUUCUUUGUCUCCAUGUCCAAGACGAUUUUUGUCUCCAUCGCCCCAGGUAAAUAAUUUUCCAGAUGACACACUGGAACUUGAAUGUGUGACAAUAACCUCCACCACAGCAGCGGUAUGCCACACACCACAAGCAACAGCAAUAGUCCUCAACCCAGCGAGUGAUUCAACUUCUCUAGGAUAGGCAAUAUUUUCUUUGUUUCCAUGUCCCAAGACACCAAACGUUCCAUCACCAAAUGUAAAAAGCUGCCCUGUUGACGUCACCAAGGCUGUAUGCCACGGACCACAUGUUACAGAAGCAACUUGAAGACCCUCAAGAGGACCAGAGAUUCUCUUGGGUAUCCAGUGACUAAUAUCAGUGCCAUGACCAAGAAGCCCCGCAUAGUGCAUCCCAUCUCCCCAUGUAUAGAUUUCCCCAGCCAUUGUAACAGCACAAGUAUGGAAUUCUCCACAUGCUAUAAAGUCAACAGUAGUCAUUGCCAAAGACUCAACCAGGCGAGGUUGAAUAACAUCUUUCCCAACGCCAUGGCCAAGCCUUCCACCAGAUUCUUCACCCCAUGUAAAAACUUCACCCUGCCUUGUGACCAUUGCAGCAUGUCUGAAUCCACAGGCAAUAUGAUGUACAUCUAAAACUACAUUAGAUUCUAAGGGCCUGGGAAGAAGCACAUCAGCUCUAGUGCUCAAAUAUGUGGCAUUCUUAUCAGCCCCGACCUUGACAGCAUUAUCACAUAUAAUCUCACCCCAUACGUAUACAUCACCUAAGGCAUCACAGUCAUCUGGUGCAGAACCAUGACUGGAAGUGCUGGGAGCACUGGAAACACUAACUCUAAAAGCAUCUGAACCAGAACCUUUGACUUGCAUAUUUGUGUUUUCUGAUGCUACAUGUGACCGAUCAGAAUGUGGAGAACUCUCAAGCUGAAAAUUCUUCGGAGAAGUAUUUGGGUUGAAACUGACAGAAACCUCUGGAGAGCUAAUAUCUCGUGAAAUACUAACAGAACUGUCACUAGCACUGUUUGGUGUUAAAUCUCUGCCAUCCUGAAAUCAGAAAUUUUCAUGACAAACAAUACACAGCAGCAUAAUUAGGAAACAACAAUGAACUUUGCACUGAAACAAGAAUAUAGCAUCACUAAUGUAAUGAACAAAGAAAACAAGACAGAACUCCAGAGUCAAGAUAGGGUACAGGGAAGGAAAAGAGGAAGAGGAGGAAGUAUGAGGUGAAAAUUAACUAAAGUUUCACUAGGUAUAGAAUUACAUCAAGAUAGAGGCCCCCGUCACUCCAUCCAUCGAUUUUGGAGCGCCCACCUUGACCAGAGAUUAUUAAUGCCUUCAAGCCUGCAAUCCACACCUCCGCCUCAACUUUGUCCUUGCAAAUCUGAAAACAUGACAUAUAAGAUUCACAAUUUAAGCAGAUAAAGAAGAAAAACACAACUUCACAACUUCAUCCUAUACCAGAUCGAGGGACCGCUUCCCGUUGUUGUAUAUAAGAGAAAAUGAUAAAUAGUCCUUUUCAGGGCGGAGAUAUCGUUGAAAAACAGCCUGGUAGCACAUUAAGAGAAAACAAAUAGAACGGGUUUAUAUAGUAUAUACAAGAACAGAAUCAUUAAAUAUACUAUGCUAUGCUAAAAACAUAAAACAGAUAUGAAAGUGAUGGCAAAUCUCACAGUUCUUUGUCCAGGAAUAAUUUUAGAGACCGAGGCUAACUUCAAACUUCUUUCACCACUGCUUGAAAUCCAGAUCAAAGUCGUUUCAUCCUGUGAUUUUUAAACAUAAGAAAAGUAGAGUGUUAAAAAGGGAAGGAUGGGAGAGAGAAGAGAAGAGCGGGCAAUCUGCAUGCUGAAUGACAAGGCCACAGGUUACAUCAUAUUUACCUAAGAAAGAAACAAUCAAACAGUAGAAGACAACACACUAGAUGAGCACAUGUAGAGCAAAUAAGAUGACUUGUAUUAAAGAUGACAUGGGAUUCUUCACGAAACACACUGACCAGUUCAUUAAGUUAUUCACUAAAGGCAAUAUAGAUGCUCACUGAAACACCACGUAUAUAAUCUACUGACCGAUAACAAACUCCAGUGGACAGGGUACACAGGUUUUGGGCAAAACAAUAACGAGCAAUUUGAUGUGCAUCGAAAAAUCCCAUAAAUGAUAUGUUAUAUAUAAUUUUCAUAGUUUAUUACAUAUGCAUGCCAUUGUAUGACCAUAUCUAUACAUCCUCAGAUGAUUAUAAUAAUCAUUAUAAACAGCAGUUCGACUGCAAAUCACACUGAAGAGGAUCAUUUGUUUUAUGAAAAAGUCAUUACCCUAAACAUUUAAAACUGAAAAUGAGUGCAGUAACAACUGAGAGUAUCCUUGGUCAAAUGCACAAGAAUCAAACUUACAUUAGAAAGUCUGAACGGACAAAACUUAGGCUUUCCCUUACGACCAUAUUUCAGAAGUUGAGAACCCUUCUUCAGAGCAAUCAAUGCCUGCAAGAUGCAGAAAGAUAAUUUACUACCAUUGGGAUAAUACCUUUGGUAUGUGGACAUUAUAUUAUUCAGUCAAUCAAAAAAAGAAAAAGGUGUUAAAUUUAGUUCAUUAUUUUAAACAUGUUUUGGCACAACAUGCUUGUUAAGAUUAUCAAGACACCAAAGAUUUCUAAAACGUACAGUUAUCAGAGGCACAUUAUUGCUUGUUAUAAUCAAAACUCGUUAUUGGAUCUGCUUGAAAGAGAUACCAUCCCACACCCCAUCUUAUAAAUUGAUCUUAUCCUUUACAAGUUUGCAAAAAAAAAAAUGAAAUCAACCUGCAAGUAUUGGCAUUGAAAGUAUGGCAAAUUUGGGUCAUUACAUAUGAUGAAAGCUAUUUGUUGAGCGAUCCCAUCAUAAGUCCAAAAAUAAUGGUCAAUAUUGUUCUUGGCAUACCAUAUAGUGUUCUAGUAUUAAGUAGAGGCGUAAGCACUUGUUCCCUCUAAAAUGCACCUAUAAACCCCCACUUCAAUUGCUAAAAAUAGCCAUAGCCAACUAAAAGUUUCAAAAAGAAAAAUGGAUGAAAAUGGUAGUGAAAACAUAAGGCAUUUUAUGGACCGUUAAGACUCUACUCCAGACAUAACCAAAAAGAAAGAAGAUAAAGAAGAACGAUGUAUCCUAUUUUCACUCGGAGAAUGGAUAACUAAAAGCAAGAGAAACAAUUUCCUUUAAUUUCUCCCCCUUUCAAAUAGGCCAACCUUAUUCCAUGCAAAUUUUAAAUUGAAUUCAAAAACCCAAAAAAAAAAAAACCAUCGAAUUAAGCACUUUUUUCUUUCAAAAUUUGUCAAGGUGAAACAAAUUUCCAUCUCAUUUCUCCACGAAUAGAAGAAAAUUACAAAUAAUAUUAACAAUAAAUUCACGCAAAAUUCAAAGGCAUUUCCCACCUAAAUAAAUAGAUAAAACAAAAAAAAAAAAAAUUCAAAAAAGAAUCCCAACCUUGACACUAAUUAAACGCACGCGUGGGUAGAGAGAGAGGAUGGUACCUGCUCGAUGUCACGUUCGGCAUUACCGUAGCUAACAAGAUCUGCCAUUCCAUGUGAAGAUAUUUACGAAAACACAACCUCCCUCUCCGAUCGCUCACCGGAGCUCCGUUCAUCAUAUACCAUCUACUUCCUCUUCACAUCAAUACCCCUCGCUCUCUCUAGCAAAAAAAUCAGCUCUUUACAGAUCUAUAAUUCUCUCGAAAACCACCAAAAAAAUCAAGUCAAAGCCGGUGAUCGUCACUGUUGACUAAGAAGAUUAAAGAGCGAAGAGCGGUUCCCACGGUGAAAGAAGUCGGUUUUGUGGCAGAUUGAGAGGAUUCCGACGAGAGAAAGUGGUGGUGUCGGGGAGAGAAACGGAAGGGAAGAGAGACUCUUCGGUUGUUUUUUUGUAAGAAUAAAUACAAGUACGGAGAGAGUCGAAGCCGAGAUAACAAAUGGGAACUUGUGUUAAAAACUUAAAUUGUUGUUGUGAGAGCAUGAAUUCUCCGGAGAGAAAAAAAAAUAAGAAAGCUAAGCCACCAUUAUUGCCCUUCUUAUUUUAUUUUACAUGGUUAUUAGAAAAGGUCUAUGAUAGUAUUCACAUAUGAAGUAUUACUUCUUCUUUUUUCAUUUUUUACUUUUCUAAAGUACUUGUUUGGUGCAUCAUUUGAAUUAGUUCUUAGAAAGAUCAGUGAGUAGGGGUAUGUUGCCAAGAUUAUUCGUGAAAAUAGUUCUCUUCUUCCCUUGAUUUCUUUCAAGUAAAGUUUGUGUUCAACGUCGUGGGAGUAGUUUGAUUUGUAGGUGGAUUAAUUUGGGUUAAUAUUUAUAAUGAAAUGCUAUAUUUUAUUAUUUUCUAAAAUAAAUUUAUAAAAUAUCAAAUUUUAUUGAUUGUGAUCCAGUCAAAUAAAUUUCAUGGAGUUAAUAUAAUUUCUUGAUUCAAUUUAAAACUUGAUCCAAUUCAAGAUCGUGAAUUAACCUAUAAGACCGAGCUGAGUUGAAUUACAAUGAUUUUAUAUAAAAACUUGAUUUUCCUAGAAAAUAAAACUUAUUAUUCAUACUAUGAUUUAAAAAUAAGUAUAAUUUAUUUGUUAUCAUGAAAGAGGGUUUGAAAUCUAGGUAAUUAUUAUUAUUAUUUCAAAUCUUGGGUAACAUUAAGAGAUUUUUAUUAUUUUGUAAAUUAUAUCUAUUUACAGUACAAUUAAUGUAAUGUAGGUUUUAUUUUUAUUUUUCCAUAAAUAAAAAUUAAAACUUCCAUGCCCCUCCUAUAAAUGGUAAUGAACUUCUUCACAUUUUUUUUCUUUAGAAAAAGAAAGAGGGGGGGGGGCAUAAAGGAAAAGGCGGGGUAGCCAAACAGGUCCUAGUUAUCGGGAGUUGUGAAGAGUUAACGCUCUUGUGUUAUGUUGGACUUUCUGCUUUGAGGCUGAGGGAGGGGGGGGGGGGCGCACGUAGAGGUAGUGGGGUGUAAGGUAACGGACACGCAACACAUUGAGAAGCUUAACGUUUGCCUUGGUACAUUUAAGUGACGAAAAUGCCUAUGAUGGAGAGUGACGUGGUGGUAAAAAAGCGGCGGUAUGUACUUGAGUCCACCGCAAGCGCAGGGGUAGGCUAGGUAACUUCCGUUUCGAUGAAAAAGAAAGCAAGGAUAUUGUGUCGAGCCAUUAAAAGAGAAGUCCUGCAUGGGUCCCAGGAUACGGUGCCGUUUAUGACGCUCAGAUUUUUGGAGACCAACGAGGAGAAUGUAUUGUAUGGCUUAGGCGAAACCAGACGCCUGGAUGUAAUAUCUUGGGGUUUUUAGUGAAUUUGAUAUCUCUCAUGAAAUCUAGGGAAUUAGGAUAAUACACGAUAUUUAGGUUGUAUCUGAAAUCCGAGGUCUUGUAGAUAUGUCCCAUGAGUUGAGAGUUAACGAUUCUUUGUCAGGUGUUAAGAGGGAAUCCGUGUGGUAGUUAGGUUAACAGUGUGUAAUGGAUCGGGUCAUUCGAGGCUUUUGCUUUUAGAUAUUGCCACUGGUUCGAUGUCCGUGUUGAGCCGUAAUUUAACGUUUUAUUUUUAUAAAAAAAUUUGUAAAAAAUUAUAAUAUAAAAAAUAAUAUUUUUUAAUAUUAUUAAUAAUAUUUUUUUAAAAUUUAUUAAUUAUUUUAUUAAUUAUAGUAAAGAUAAUAAUAUUUAUUGCAUAAAUAAUUAUAUUAAAAAUUUCCAUAAUAAUAUUCCUAUAUCAAUACUUUGAGUUAUAAUAAAAAUAAUAAUAUUUUUAACACAGAUAAUACUAUUUUUGAUCUGAACACUUUGAAUUGUAAGAGAAAAAAUAAUAUUUAUAACAUACAUUAUUAUUAUAUUAUCUAACCACUUUUUAGCAACGAAACUCUUUGUUUUUUGUGUUAAAGAGUUUCAAUUGAUGAUAAGAGUUCAAUUGUUACGAGUCAUGGUAAUAAAUGUACCUCAAAAAGGAGCUUAGGUUCUAUUUUGAUUUUUCUGAUUCGGUUAAUUUUUUUUUUUACAUGUGAUCCUAGGUUGUUAGAUAGUUUAUGAUACCUUGUAUGGUUUUUAUUAUGUGUUUUCGAGUAAAAACAUAUUAGGAGAUGGAUUUUCAACUCAAACUCUCCUAAUUUUUCAUAAAAUAAUAAAAUUCAUGAGCUAUAAAUAUAUCAUGAGUUUUUAGAGUUGAAGGUUCACGAUCUCUUCAUUCUCAAUAUUACCCAUAACCUGACUUGCCAUAUACUAUUUGUUAUUAUCACAAUUAUCGAUCACUUGACUUAUUAGGCAUUGUCUACUAUCAUCACAACUACUAAUCAACUAACCUACCAAGUAUCGCUUAUUAUCAACUAUCAACCCUCUAAGCUUUUUACAUAAAAUCAUUAAAUACUUUAAUUAUAUAAAAUAAAUCAAAUUAUUUGAAUUAAGAAAUCAAGUUUUAAAUUAUUUUGAAUUUUAAAACUCGUCAAUAUUCUUGUAUAUUUUCUUCAUUAUAAGUCCUCCGAGUAUACAAAACUGCAAACAAUUGACUUCUAUUUUCACUGUCAAAGAUCUAAAAAAAAGCUUAAAAGCUAUCAACAACUAUAAAGAAAGAAAAAACACGUACACAGGAAUAACAAUAAGAAAAUCACAUUACAAUUCAUCAAAUAAUUAAAUCGUAUACCUGGUUUUUGCUCCAUGCCACUCUUUUCGAGUCAUUUAUUAAUGCUUCUGAUAUCUCUUGCUGAUAAUGAAAAGUGGCAACUUAAUUAUUCAUGAAACUUUAUAAAUUAUCUGUAUAUCUCUAAGAGGCAAUUUAAUAAAAAUUAUUCGUAAAACUUUAUUGUCAUCACGUAUAUGAGAGAAUAUUUUGAAGAAUAUUAUUUCAAUCCUUGACCAUGCCUACAAAAGAGGCUAACACGGUUUUGUUUUGUAAAAUUAUUUUUAAAGAAGCUUUUAUGACAUCCAUACAUGUCAAUAUGUUAUUAAGCUCUAAAAAAUACCUAGAUGUAUAUCAUUCACACAUUCUUGAUUCAGUAUAGAGAUUUUAAAUUUAUUUUGAGAGAAUUACAUUUAGUGUAUAAAUUGCAAUUAUCCACUAUAAUUUGAAAAUUACAAGGUUAAGAAAAAAAUUUAGGUGAGAUAAAAUAACUAAAUUAUCUUAUAUAUAUUAUAUCAAAAGAACCUCGAAUUAAAGCCUAGGAAGAACCCUAAAUUUUAUUCUAAUCUCUCUCUGUUUUUUUUUCUUCACUUCCAUUUGAGAGAAGGAAAACCAGAAUUGAAGUGUCUCAUCAACCGCUUUCCAAGGUUUGCUUAUACCGUGGUUAUUUAUUUUUUUUAGUUUAUUUCCUCUAUUUUUUUUUUAAUCACAAUCUUCUACUCUCCAGGAAACGAUGGCAUAUUAUUUGACAACUGGGACAACAAAAAUUGUCAGCGACAAUACGUUAACCGAGACAUGGAUGGAAAAGCUGGCUUAAUUUUUUUGGCCUACCAAGUGAAACUUUUCACGGAAAAAGCGAGCGAGUAGAGAAAAUGCCGAAGAGAUGGUAUUGUGUGGAGAAACAUUGACUGGUCUCCUGCGUUUCUUUUCCCUAUAGAAUUUACUGGUGUAUUUAUGGUGAGCUGCUGUUUGGCUUUUAACGUAAAUUGUUUUUUAAAAUAUAUUUUUUAUUUUUAAAAAAUUAUUUUUGAUAUCAAUAUUUUAAAAUAUUAAAAAAUAUUAAUUUAAAAUAAAAAAAUAAAAAAAAUUCAAAAACAUUUUACAAACACAAAAACAAACAAAAUAUUCUUCUACUUGGAGUUGAAUGGCGGAAAUCUCUUUUCGGUAACCAAAUACCGUCAAUCUGCACUCUAUACCCUCAAUCAUCAAAUGAAAAUGACGAAUGAAUUUAAGUUCUUUGAUGGUUGCUUAACUUUAUAACAUCUUUACUUAGUCUUCUGGGAUCAUCCUUAGACCAAUCCGCCGGGAUCGAACCAAAGUUCUUCAUCAACUCUCUCUUUUAGGUGAGAUUCAUACCAACAUGUGGGAUUGUAUAGUGAAAAGGAGUCCGGUUGCAGCACUGUUAUUGGCUUUUUUAGAUCCCAUCGAGCUGAACUGUGACACCACUAUUUUUAUUUUUUUAUGACUCUAUAUGUCUGGGUUAGCUUACGCGCACCACAACUAAUUCUAGGGUCUACUGAAUAUCCUGCAAGCUCAGUAAGCGGGUAAGGCACCGCGGGAGUGACAAGCUGGUACUCUUAAGGAUCGAACCCAGGACAUUCACAAAGACAAGCCUUGCAGUUGACCAAUGAACUAGACCCUCAAGUAUUGACACCUAUAUUCUUGUUUUUGUGGGAGGGUGUUGAUUUGAUAUUUAAUAAAGUUUAUAAUUUUUUAUUUUCAAAAUUUUAUUUUUAAUAGCAAUACAGAUAUAAAAACAUAAAAAAAAUUAAUUUUAAUUUUUUAUAUAUAUAAAAAUACUCUAUUCAUAGCUAUAUUGACAGAUCGAAUAAGAUAUACUAAUUUACGUUGUUUUAGAUUACAUAAAUUCGGCCGAUCCAAUGUAUAAGAUCAUAGCUACGUGGACAUCGCUCAUUAGCUUAUCCCCUCCCAAAAUUUAUUCGUUUUCGUUUUCCAAUCGUGAUUGUGCGGCAGAAAAGACGUAAAAGAAUAUUUUUAUUGUGUGAUUUUUUAACAAAAUUUUAUGCCCGUCGUAUCACCAGCUUAUUUAGCAUAAACCAUAUAUUCUGCUUUGGAAUUUCAGUUUCAAAAUACCUUGUUUAAGAAAUAAAAAUAUUAAAAUACUAUAAACCAUACAUUCCUGUAUGGUGAUGUAAAAAGUUAUUUAUACUAUAAACAAUAAAAUGUAACAAUUUAUUGAUAGUUAAUCAAUCUUUCACUUGGAAAUUGGGAUGGUUCAAAAAUUUUAAACAUGGAAAACUUAAUUCAGUAAACAAAUAAAUUUUAUUUAUGUUAUUUAAAAUAUUGUUUAUAUUUUUAAAAAUGAUUAAAUAAUAUACGAGCUAAGAAAACUAAUAAAAACACACGUAAACAAGCCUACACUAAUUUAAGUCGAAAAAGAAAUCUCCAGGUAUAAAGUAUAAACCCUUCUCCUAAAAAUAAAAUAAAAUACAUCCACACAAUUUGAAAAAAGAUUUGAAUCUUUAUUAGAUGUUAACUCGAGGUUUUUGACAAAUUGUUUUAUAUUGACGUGAGUUUAAUUUCAAGAAAAAGAAAAAGAAAAAGAAAAUCACGUCAGAUUGGGUAAUCUACCAGAGUCCAAUCAGCACUUGAUUAUAAAGAGACGAGGAGGCUUGGUAGUCAAGGGAACACCAGAACGGAACAAAAAGUGACAAAACCCGUGUGUGGAUGGAUCGUCUGAUUCCUGGUCAUCUCAAAGCUUUUCGGAAAUCGAGGGAUGGUGACAUUUUUAAUUUAUUUUUAAAAAGCUUAGUGAAGUAUUCCCAUCACUGAUGAAAAGGAUUGGCAUUGCUGUGUGUGCAUUUUCUUUGCUUUUGAGGAGUGGCCAUUUUUAAAAUGACAAGAAACACCCUCUCACUUCUGGUGGGGCUUCUCCCUGUCCGAAGCCGUGUCUUUUUUUUUAUUUGGUAGGUGAGCGACCAUGUUUAUUUGAUGAUGUCUUUCCUGCAUUCUCACAGGACCCACUGUCUGAUUACCGGAGAUUGCCUUUUUAAUUUCUAAGUGGGAAUAGUAUUUGUUUUUUUUAAAUAUAAAAAUAAUAUAAUUUUAUAUUUUUAAAAAAUAUUUUUAACAUCACAAAUUAAAAUAAUUAAAAAAAUAAAACAAUUAAUUUUAAAUAGAAAAAAAAUUCAAAUUCAAACACACGGUAAUUAAAAGGAGAUCGCCUAUUUCUUUCCCUCUUCUUUUUCUUUUUUUCUUUGCGGCGAUUAUUAAUCUUUUUUUCUUACAAAAAGGGUGGAUUAUUUGACGACUAUCUUAGCCGCCUAUUCCGUAGACUUGUUCAAGUUUCCAUCAUUCAAGUUUCCGUCACGUGAUGGGAAGGGAUACACAAUGAAAAUUGGCCAUGGAACGUCGGUCGGUCUCCAUUGGCGUUCCCGUUUCAAGAACUAUCAACUUCUGGAUGUAUUUUACUCACGGCUUGAUAUUGUUGAUGAGAUAUUUUAAAGAUAUAUUUUUUUAGAUAUUUGAAGAGUAAUUAGUAUUAUUUUAUUACUUAUUUUCUAGAUUUUUUUUUUCAAUCAGUAUUAUCAAUCAUCUUGUCGUAUUUCUAUGAAAUAGAUUAUAUUGAACUAUGAAAUGAUAAAUCACGGUGAUGCAUUGUGCAUAAAUUUAUUUGAAUUAAAACACCAAAAAUUACAUAAAUUGAUUGUUAGAUUUUUAGUAGUAAAAUUAACAGCAAUAAAAAUUGACAGAUUGAAAUAUUUUAUUGAUUUAAUAUAAUGUUUAUAGUAAUAUUUAUUUUAUUUUAGAAGUAUAAAAAUUGCUCCAGGUUUUUUUAAAAAAGAACAUAUUUACUGCAAAAAAUAAAUAAAAAGUAAGUUUGAACUCUCCAUCAAGUAACGGGACACCAAAAACAUCUAAUAUAUAUAGGAAGACUUGUUUUGUGAGUUAUCACUAAUCGCUUUGAAAAAGAGUGAUGGUAAGUAUAUAAGGAUUCUAAUACUUCAUUGCCCAACUUUUGACAGCAUUUGGUAAGUUGGAAGACGGAUAGGUAUUAUUUAUUUUUGUGUUUUAAAAAUAUUUAAAUUUGUUUUAUUUUUUUAUUUUAAAUUAAUAUAUUUUUAGUAUUUUAAAAUCAAUUUAAUAUGUUAAUGUUAAAAAUAAUUUUUAAAAAAUUUUUAAAAAAUUAUUUUAAUAUAUUUUUAAAUAAAAAAUAUUUUUAAAAAUAAUUAUAACUACGUAUCUAAACAGGUUAAAAGUGCAAUUCACCUCAUGACAAUCCGUUCUAUCUUCUUCGCCGAUCUCUACCAUGUAGAGUGCAAGCUGCCUACGGCUAUUACUGAUGAACUUGAGAAAAAUUAUCGUGCCUUUAGUUGGGGGAUAGAAGGGUGGUAAUUAAGACGAAAAUGCAUCUUAAUCUUAUUAAUUAGGAGUCUGUCUGUCAACCAAACAGGCGUGAAGGAGCUGGCUGAAAUAUUUAGGCACUAUGAAAGUUGUCAUGUUGAUGAAAUUUGGCUGGGUCUGCUGACUCGAAAAGUAAUUUAUGGGUUGAGGUUUUAAGGAGCAAGUGUAAGGUUUGUGAGGACAUAAUUCCUGCUCUCUAGACUCUUUGCCAGACCGAAUUCGUCUCCUCUAUGGAAAGCUUUGUGCUUCGUUUAGCCUUGUGUUUUGGAAGAUGUUCUCUUGGAUCGGGAUUCGGGUUGAUUCUUGGAUAGAUGCUCUCUUGGAUCGGUUUCGGGUUGAUUCUUGGAUAGAUGGUCUUAUGGACUUUGCUACUGAUCAGGGUAAAUGGAGGCGAAGCUAAUUUGGCAGCUUUCUUCCGUCGUCUAUUCUCAAAUUGAUGAUGAUGAGUUGAUAUGGUAGCCUUCUUCGAAUGGCUGUUUCUCUACUGAAUCUACUUAUGAUAUAGACAAGUAUAGAUGGAAUUAUUCUAAGAAGAUAUGGUCUUUAGUGCGGGGUUGGAAUAGUCCUUUUUAUUUUUUUUAUAUUAAUAUGGUUAUUCGAACAAACUUACGUGUAAAUUUUUUUUAAAUAGACAAAUAUUGCUGCUCUCGUUUUGAUUUCUUUAUGCGAAAUUUAUUUUUUAAAAAUAAUACAUGUUGAUAAAUUUUUUGAAAUAAUGACAUGGAUUGAACAAAUACUUGAGAAACAGUACAAUUUGAACAUAAUUAUAUUUUUGUAUUUGAAUUCUUCAAGUUCCCAUAGACGACAUUAUUUAUAAAGUCUUAAAAAUCUAAGUAGUCUUGAAAUAAUAUUUUCGAGUUAGAUAAUCGAUUAAUUAAUUGAUGUUAAUAAUUUUAUUUAUUUUUAUUGAUCUAGAUAGUUGAUAGCUUAUACUUAGAUUUAUAGCUAGUACUUGUAAGAGAUCUCAUGGGGAUGUAGACUCUUCAAUACUUAAAUAAGCAUUUUUUUAGAGAAAGAAAAAUUAAUAAUAUUAUAGAAAAAAAUACUUUGAAAAUAUAUAUGCAUUAAAAAAUGAAGAUUGUGAAGCUCUUGUUCUGAAGAGUCUUGUGAUAUAUUUAUAGCCCAUGAAUUUUAUUUUUUUUAUAGAGAAAAGAAGCUUGAGUAUAAUUUUAUUUUGUGAUAUUUUAAAUUACAUUAUAAAUUGUAUUUCACUCAUUUUAUCCGGCUAAAAAAGAGAGAAAUGAUGAACCAUGAUUGAUUUAAGCCCACCUAGGGCUAUGUUUGACAUACUACCAAGCCUAAUCGUGAUUAAGUAGUAUUAAAUUUAAAUGUUUUUUUAAUUUUAACCGGUUAAAGAGUCAAUCUUUUUAAUUAUAUAUAAUUAGGUAAAAUUACGAGUUUUUUCCCCAUAAGAAACCGAUUGGAAUGGGAAAGUGUCAAAAAGUUUCAAUCUUCCCACCUUGAGACAGAGCAUGAGAAAUGUUCCAAUGUCCAGGUGGCCUUUACUCCAAUUAAGGACGAAAGUAGUUGAUCAAAGCACAGUAAGGGGCAACUUGGGAUGCCAUCAGCAUUGUUCCUCUCAGUAUCCUAUUGCAAAUUUGACUCUGGCCUCACGAGUAUACACUAUACACACUGCCCAUCGCUAAAUAAUCUGAACUAGCCUUUUCUCUCAGUGGUUGGAAAUUCGGCUUUCAUGUCGGAGGAAGUGCUCAUAUGCAGCAGGAAGGAGCUGUUUAUUUUUACCUUUUAAAAUAUUUUUGAAAAAAAAUAUUUUUUAUUUUAAAUUAAUAUUUUUUUAGUGUUAUUAAAUUAUUUUGAUGUGUUGAUAUUAAAAAUAAUUUUUUAAAAAUAAAUAUAAAAUAAUAUUUUGAUAUAUUUUUUUAAUAAAAUAUACUUAAAAAAAACAACACUUCUAAACAUACUUGAAACCCUUUGUUACGCCACACACAAAAUGUCAAAAUUAGGAGGUUGCUUGCUCUCACUUUUAAGAUAAGUGAUUAGCGUGGGUAAAACAUCGAAUUGAAAUCUCAUAAAGACUACAUUUUCAAUUCGAUAAAAGCAUCUCCUUUGCCCUACAAUUAAUAUUUUACUAAUUUACUCCACCAGUCUAAAUAUAAGCAUAUUUGUGUGUGUUAAUGAUCUCUUGAGUUUCUAUGGCAGCUUACCAAAUCUAACCAUUAAAAUAAAGUUUUUCAUUCAAUCAUGGCCCGUUAAAAUGAAAGAAUUAUCUCGCAUCAAGAGGUUGGUUUCACAGCUCGGCAAUCAUCAAUAAAUUAUGAAAAUAAAUUUCAUCAAUCCCACCUGUGCUUGCAUUGUAAUCUUUGACGUGGUUGGGAAUUAACCACCACGAGCACGUUCGCAUUCAUUUGUUAACCUAAUUUUAUGGCCCUCCAUCAACCAAGUAUGGUUCCAGGACAAAACAGCUUAACAAUAUGUAGUUAGCCCAGUUAAUCAAUCCACUUUAUGUUUUGUUUUUAAGCCACCUGUUGCUUUGUUCUGUACCAGAAGAAAGCAGGUUUUGCCAUGGAAGCGAUCCCAUUUCACCCUCUUUCUCUGUGUCCUGUCACUUACAUUCACAAGCUGCUAAAUUAUUUCCAACAGCUUGAAUAACAAGACAUGGCACCUUAGGCCCAGUUUGGUUGCCAUCAUUUUCUUUUUUUUCAUUAGUUUGUAAACAUUUCUGUUCUGAGAAGACAUUUUGAGACGAAAUGUAAAUAUGAUUGCGAAUCCAAUUCCUCCGUUUCCAUACAAGGGUUAUAUACGGCGACAUCAAAUUUUAGAAAAAAUGUCAAAAGUUGAGAAAGCAUCUCGGUAAUGAUGGGUUGGAUUAGUGAUUAGAAUAAUGGUGCUAAACUAGUAAUGAUGCGCUUAUUAUAGUAGCAACGUGAUAAAGACCUUGAAAGCCGCCUUGUUGCAAUAAUUUUGAUGGGGGCAGUGAGAAUCUUGAGGCGAGUGAGAUGAAGCAUAAAUGAUGAGAAAGGGGAAGUUGAACGAGAGAAGGCUAACUUUGGGGACAAGAAGCCAAAAUUGUAAAGCGAGGGACCGCUCGAUUUCAUACAAUUACACAGCCCCCAUAGCCUGGUCGGCCUCUUGUUUUGCAUAUGGGGCCAUUUGCAUUUUAAGGUACAAUAGAGGGGUUUUAAAAAAAUAUUUAAAAGAGAACAGGAAACACUCGCGAUUUGACUGUUAAUUCUCAUAAUGAAAUGAAUAUUUUGCUCUUCAUAGUAACAACCAUGAAGUGAGAUUUGGAAGGUAAAAUAGUUUUUUUACUGGAUUUAUUUGACACUAUAAAAUUAAUUUGGGGUAAAUCGGUUUAUUUAACUAUCCUUGAAAGCAAGGAACCUAAACUGACGUAUUGAAAAUUUGAAACCUUUUAGUCUUCUCGUUUUUUUCAAAAUACUAAAAUGGGCCUUUUUUUGCAGUGAAAUCCCUCCUCAUCUUGAAGUUAUGAAAUUUAAUAUAAAAAAAUUGUUUGACAUGGCGACCUAAUGUUUCCAAUUAAUCCAAUUCAUACCCCUGCAUUUAUUACGCUCACACACACAGAUAUAAAGUAACGUUUUGUGGAAAAGAAGUCACAGAACGGAUUCCAUUGCCCCCCCCGCUGGAUGGCAAAUGCUGCUAGAGCUUUUUCGACGUGAUUGGAUCUACUUUGCGAUAUCUUUUUCUUCCCCGUGUGAAAGAAGUGCCUGAUUAAUCAACUUUCAUGAAAACAAAUUAUUUUAUUUUAUUUAUCCUUUCUUUUGUUUUUUAUUUAUCCUCCUUCCUUCCUUCCUUCCGGUACUUCCAUUUUAGCCGAUCGAGUUUCCUCCUUCCAUUGUAGCCUGAACCCACACUCGAGUUUCUCUACAGUUGAUUGCUAAUCCUGCAUGGUACUUUAGGAGCACGCAGGCGAGGAGCAUGUUGCAAUCAUAGGCAGAGAAGACAAAAUAUAUUUUCCAGCAGAUUGAACAAAACAAAAUAAAAAAAGGGGGUCGUCAUCCUAUAUGUUAUCAAAGCACUAUCCAGGGCCCGGAAAUUUGUCAUGUCUACAUCAUUCGAAGUAUGAAUACCUUUUCUACUCACUAAUGGAGACCAAAGGGUGUUUUUCUUGCGCUUUUAAGAAGAACAUGGCGCUACCAGUGCCACCCGUCACAGUUAUGGAUAAUGCUUGUAAUCAUUAGUGAUGACAGUGUGACUCGUUAUUCCAUUGUCGAAAAACUUUAACAAUAUCAAGCUAAAACUAACACACUCGCAGUCAUUUUUCCCUUCAUAGGAAAUUAGUGUAAGAGGUAAAUACAAGUUAUCUCACCAACCCAGUUUGUGUAGGAAAUUACUGUUACUUGAAUCAAAUCUAACCGCAAUAACUUACAGCUCUUUUCUCAAAUCACAAGGGAAAUAACGUAGUUUUCAUUUCUCAAGUGCCAUACCUUUUAAAGUACGUAGACAGAUUUAUAUAUAUUAUCUGUGGAGAUAAUUCUCUCUUCCAAUUCUCUCUCAUUUAUUCUAUUAUAAGGUUAAAUAUUUUAUUAACGCAGCCGAACCAUUGCAGAAUUCGGAUUUUGGAGUUGGGUCGUGGUUACAGGCUUGGCGUUUCCCGUGUCCGAUCCUUGCGUUUUUUUCUUCUUUUUUUUUCUAAAUAAAUAAAAAUGCUGGAAAUAUGCAUUCAUGGAAUAUACACUACACAACACAUGCAUAUAGGUGAACUGACCACUCAAACUUGUACGAAUUAUAGGAGCCGAGGUGUUCACGUGGGAAUAGUAAUUAAAUUGUGCACUCACUACUGCAAAGACGAAGGGGAAAAUCUAAUUUCGAAACUACUUGGGAUCCAAUAUAUAUAGAUAGAUAGUCUCCUCUCCUACAUCAAUGGAGAUUCAAGGACCCGUGAAGAAACUACUAGUGAACGGGCCUGGGUAACUUAAAUUCUUGCGUGAGAUGCUGGACAUGCGCAAGUAAACUGGGUAUCGUGAAGGCAUUAAUUUUAAUUUCAUAUUUCUUUCCUUCUUUCUCUUCCUUGUCUUUUUAUUUCUUAAAUGAAUUUGCCAAUUCUCAUACUUCACAAAACAAAUUCACCUGUUUUGUUUUGGAUCUGUUGACUUGGUUUUUUUUUAAUGUUUCCAAAUUAAACGAUUUAAUGAUAUGCCUAAAAUAACAAGGACACCCAACACACUCUUUAAGCUAUCUAUCAAAUUGACAAUGUAUGCUCUUAAAACUUGGGUGGCGCAUAAUAUUGUGUUGAUUUCUGCCUUUUAUAUAGUUUUUUGUCUAAAACAAUAUUAAAUUAAUGAUUUUUAAGUGUGUAUUUUUGAUAAUUUUAAUGUAUUGAUAUAAAAAAUAUUAUUUAAUAUAUUUAAAAUUAAAAUUUAUUUUUAAAAAGCACUCCACGAUAUCAAAUAUUCAUUAAUCAAUCUCCUUUGAUUUUUUUCAAACCAUGGAUUAAAUCUCUUGCCCUUCCACAAAUAACAUCAUCGACGUCCCACUUGAAUUACCUACAUCCAGAUGGCUUCCCACCCUCGUUUUUCAACCGAGAUUGGGAUUUUUAAUAUUAAACUGAGAAUUUCUUAUUAAACAUGUUAAUACCUCUGCUCAUGGGGGACGGAUGACAUGUCAUUUGUUUGCCGAAGUGUCACAUGAUCCUCCUCCACGAUGGACCAGUAAAAUUAUGAGUGUGGCAAGUGAUAUUCUCUUCUAUCCAUGUCAACCUAUUACCUGCUUCAAACACGACACGUGUGAUUCUAAAGUCAAAAUUAACCUUCAUUGUCAUUGACCUCGACCUCUAACCGAAGGAUUUUUAACGUGUAACAGUGCAGAUAAAAAAAAAAAACAAUACUCAAUUGCCGAAAUUGAUAAGUGUUUUCGCCAAAAAUCAUAAAAUACAUAAUAAACAAGUUGUCCUUUAGCGUGAACAAAUGGUUGCAUGUUAAAUUAAAUUAAAUUAAAUCUAUAUAAUUUUGGAAACCACGUGUUAUGUUUCCUGAUGAAAAAAUGCUUUUAAUUUUUUUUUUUUGUUUCAAAUUAAUUAGGGCUAGUGUUUUUAAUUUGUUUUAACAUGCUGAAGUUAAAAAAUAAUUUUAAAAAAUAAAAAAUAUAUUAUUUUAAUGUAUUUCUAAAAAAAACAUUUUAAAAAUCAAUUAUUAUUAUUCUACCAAACACCAUCUCAAAAUGAAUGUGAGAAAGCACACCUUGUAUGCAAUGCCAUUUUCCUGUUAUUUUACCUAUAGCGGAAAACUACAUUUUCCUGGUUAUAUUAACUUUUCUCCAAGUUUCUUUAAUUAGUUAUAGAUCUCAGAUUAUUAUUUCCUUACGUCUUAAGAUUCAAUUUAAUUUUUAAAUAAUUUUAAAAUCAACAUCAAUAAUAAUACAUUACAGUAUAAAAUACUAAAUUGAAGACUUGAAAUCAAUAAAUUAAAGAAGGAAAAACUUUCCCAGAUAUGAAAUAAACUCUGACAUGCAUGCAUGGCAGGAGACACAGAUUCCACAACAUGGAUAAAGUGGAAAAAGAAAUGAAGAAAAGAAAAGGCAAGUUCAGUGUUUGUUUGUGGGAUCGUGUAUGUCGUGUCUACAUCAAAUCCCGACAUGCAGGGGCUAGGUUUCUUGUUCCGACGAGUAAAAUGGUAGCAGAGUAGCAGCGACUCUCUCACACUGUAAAAUACCAAAAGAAACUUGUUAGCUUUGAGUUGGCAACAUCAAUAGGGGGCUUGCAUAUCACUGCUCAUUGCUAGCUUCCAUUUUGUCUCUCAUGGCGAACAAGAUCCAGUGAUGAAAUUAUUAUCAGCGGCAGACCCAUUUUCAGACUUCACUGUAACAUGGAGAUCCUCGUGAUUAACUUAAUAAAAAUAAGGUGUUUAACCGACAUCAAUAUUGUGUGGAUGCUAUUAUAGAUUACCCUUUCUUGACAAAUGAAAGAUUUUUAUCCAUAUCGGUUCUUUUAAUGUAUUUUUUAACAUAAAAAAAUUUAAAAUGUAAAUCGAUCAAAAGUCUAUGAUAACGUCUAGUUAAAUAAACUAAUAAUUAUUUAUGUAAAUAAAUAAAUAAAUAAAUCAUUAACAAUAAACAAAUAAAAAAAUAAAAAAAAUAAAAAAUAAAUACGGAUUAAGAUAUUCAGUCAUACAAAAUGAAACAUUUAUCCAAUUGUGUCUAUUAAAUUUAUUUACUUAAAUUAAUAAAAGAUAAAUCUAUACCCUAAAAAUCUCAUAACAUAAAAGAUAAACAUAAAUAAAAUUGACUAGAUAAACUCGCCCUAAAAACAUUACACAAGGCCGAAUACGUCAUCAAUAUUAUUUACAAACAAAUAUUUUUUAUUUUAAAAAAUAAUUUUUAUUUGUAUAAAACAAAAAAUAUAUAAAUCAAUUAGAAUAAUAUCUUAAAAAAAUCAGCAAACAAACAAACAAACAAUUCUAAAAAUAAUCAUAUUAAAAAAAUGGCAUGCAAAACACGUUACUUGAAUCAUGAGACCGGAACAAAUCCAUAGAAAAAAAUUCAAGAUCAUCACAAAACCAAUAUUUUCUUAAAAAGAAAAAAAAUAUAUAGAAUUAUUAGAUCGUACGAAGCCAAAUAUCCAACAAAUCAAAUGUCAAAAGAUUAAAUUAUAAAAAAUAAAUCCAAUUACAUAAAAGCAUUCAAAAAAAAUUAAAGGUGAAAAAACAAUUCAUUAAAGGGCAAAUAAAGAUUUUAUUUGACCAGUUCUUUGCAGCAGGCCGUAAAUUUAUUUUUAAGAAAUUAAAAUAGAAACCAAAAGGUGUAAAUCAAAUUUAUUUGACGAGUUCUCGAGUAUAUAGAUAUUUUGAUAUGUUUUUUUAGGUAAUAAAAUUUUAAGUGUAAAUAAAAAAGUCUACCCAAAAAUCUAAUAAUUAUAUAUAUAGAUAAAAAAAUCAUGAAUAAUAAUUAAAAUAGAAAGUGAAAAUAAAAUAAAAAAUAGAUGUGGAUUAAGAUAUUUGAUCUCGCAAAUGAAGACAUUUACCCACUUGUAUCAAUUGAACUUGUUUAGUAAAAUCAAUAAAAGAUCAUGAAAAUAAAAACACAUAUGAAAUCAUGUGAAUAAAAUAAAAAAUACAAAACAAAAUAAAUAACAAUUAGAAGAAUUGUAAAUGAAUUCAAUAUAAAAAUUAUCUGAAAUUAAAUGUUUUGUGAAAAAUGAAAUGAAAUUAAAUGUUCUGAGAUAGAAUUGAAAAAAAAUAAUAAUUAAAAAAAUGAAUAACAAAAUAGAAAUUAAAAGAAUUAUUAGGGAUGAGAUGAAAAUAAAUCAAUGUAAUUGAAACAAUUCCACCUAAGAGAAAAUGGAUUGAAUAAAAAGAAAAAGGAAAUUGGAGGCUGGUUUGAUUUUUGCAUGGUCGGCACGCAACCCGAAUAUAAAAAAAAAGGAAAAUAAAGAAAGAAAAAAGAAAAUUAGUGUCAAACCCAACACAACCCAACCGAACCACCAUAUAUGUGCUGCUAAGAGAGGAAAAUGAUGUCGAAACCAAUCAAAUAAUGUGAUGGGAGCACAAUUAAAACCAUUGAAGUCAACCAAAUGCGUUGCCCGAAGGUGAUGGAGCUUCUAAUGCAUCUGGGUACGCAUUAACAACUAUAAUUUUUUUUGUACAAAAUAAAAAAUGCUUUUAUAACUAAAUAAUAAUAAUAAUAAAUAAAUUAUUAUGAAAUUACAACCAAGCCCCUAAAACCAAAGCUGAAAACAUUGGAUGUGAAGGGUAAUGGAAUAGUUAUAUUAUAAAAUAACUAAAGGCCCUUAACCAAAAGUUAUGACUAUUUACUUUUCAAUUUCAAUAUCCUAAUUUUAUUGUUAAGAUCAAUGUAAAAUUCUACAAUGCCUCUUAUUACCUUAUAAAAUAACAAAUAAAUUAAUAGAAAAAAAAAACACCACCCCAUCCUAAACCUUAGAGCUGCAAAAUUCUACCUUUCAAGUCCACGAUAUAAUGAAUUUAUUAUGUCUUGGUUCUGAAUGCAUAUGCAAUAAAAGUAUCACAAAGUUUAGAUCUUGUCUCGAAACACGGUUCAAAUUGUGUUGUAUCAAAUUUUGAGAUUUUGUUUUUACAUAAAAUUAUUAUUUUUUAACUUUUGAGAUAUAAUUUUUAAAAUUUUUUUUAAAAAUAUUUUGAUGCAUUUCUGAAAAAAGAUAAUCCAAAUUUACAAGUAAUACUUAAUAAUAUUUGGUCAAGUAAGGCCCGGCCAUAACACAUGCAGCGGGCUAUUGGGAUAGUCGGCCCGAAUUUACAAUCGUUGGGCCCAUAGGUAAGAUUAAUGAUCCACGUUCCCCCACCAGACAGAGAAACCUAGUGAAUAAUAAAAAACAAAACAAAACAAAAAGAAAGACAGACGAAGUUAAUUCUGUUUCUUUUUUCUCUCCCCCUUGAGACCAAUUGUAGGGUUUUGCCAAAAAUCUCAAAACUCCAAAGAAAUCCAAGCCAAAACCUACCCUGUCUGAUUAAGAAAACCACAAGAAUUCUUCUCUUUCUUACUUUCUGCCCAUUAACAAUGACAGACGGUUACUGGAAUCGGCAACAGCCUUCCAAUGUCCCUUCCAGCGGCAUGCUAAAACGACCUCGUUCCGACUACGGUACGUUCUGCUCUCCCUUCCUUUUGUUAAAUGCAAAAUUUAGAGUGCCAGAUUAGGAUUACUGUAUCUUUUUGUUGGAAUUAGAUCCAUAAAUUACUGUUACAAUGAAGUAUGUUGGAACUAUUGGUCGAUUUAAAAAAAAAAAAUUAAUAGAGGCGGUGCCUGCUGUUGCUACUGCUUGGUUGUCUGGUUCGAUAAUUUGUAUAUUUUUGAGAAGUAAGAUGUGGAUAGAAGUCUCAACGGAUUUGAUUUUGGGGGUCUUGCAGAUAUGCCUUCAAGCUAUGAGAUGCAGAACUACUAUCCGCGAGAUGUUGAUGAUGAUCGCACUAGGUAUGAAACUGUCAAGGACAGUAAGACUAUAGGAUCAGCAUAUGACCGCUACCUUCAGAAUGCGGUAUGGUUCUUUUCAAACCCUAUAUAUUGCUGUUUUGUUACCCCCCUGUGUAUUUGCUGAUCUACUCGUCCUUUUUUGUGAAGCAAGCUCCUACGUUUGCUUCUAGAGAAGCCAGUGCAUUGGGAGGAGCUGGGUUUGGAAGGGGUAUUGGUGGUGGAAUGAGUGGUCUUCCGAUAGCUGAUUCUGCUGUAAUGACUCGCCCUCGGUCUGCUGGUCUAGACCUGGCAUCGAAUGGUAGAGAUGUUGGUUUUGUUCGUCAGCGACCAGAGGAUAGAAUUGCUAGGUCAGAUCGUGAAAUGGCACAUCUACCUCCAGAUGCUUCCAACACUUUAUAUGUUGAAGGAUUUCCUCCUGACUGCUCAAGGAGGGAAGUAGCUCGUAUCCUUUUAAUGUCGUAGUGAUGUUGCACAAUAAUGAUACCCUUUGUCUUGCUCUUUUUAUUAGUUACCAAGGCUUUCUUUCCAACUAUGUUUUAUGUUCCUUUACUGGAUGUGAUAGAUAUAUUUCGACCUUUUGUGGGAUAUAAAGAAGUUAGACUUGUGAGCAAAGAAGCAAGACAAGUAAGUAGAUGAGUUAGAGUACUUUCUCAUACUUGGUUUAGUAAUCUGAUGCUCAAACUGGCUUUUUGGAAAGUGUGACUAGUCUUUCAUUGAAUGCAGCGUGGUGGAGAUCCUAUCAUCCUUUGUUUUGUUGAUUUUGUAAAUCCAGAAUGUGCAGCAACUGCGAUGAGUGCCUUGCAAGGUGAUGAUUUUGCCUUUUUAUCUAUCUAUAGUGAAACCGAUGCUAGGGGUUGGAGGCUUUCUUAAUACAAUGAUGUUUGCUGCUAUUGUACUUUACACUGUUGUAUAUGGGUUUGCGUGUGUAAGACUCACCUUAUUAACAUUUUUUUUCUGCUGUUCACCAAUUUACAUAUUCCUAUUACUAAGUUGGUUCUGAAGAAAUUCUUGCAUGAGAAUGAUAUGUACCAUGGCUUUGCUUUUUUUCUCCUUCCUGUAGAUGGGUUGGGGGGGGGGGCACUUUUCACCAUCCAUCUUGCCACAAUAAGAAUUGGAAUUGCAAAUAAAAGUCAUUCCAUGAUAGUAAUUUACUCAUACUUGUUUGAAAUGUCUGGAGAUGCUAACUACAUGGAUGUAAUCUGCAGGUUAUAAAGUUGAUGAACAUGAUCCUGAUUCUAGGUAUUUGAGGCUGCAGUUUUCUCGACACCCAGGCCCAAGAUCUGGCCCUAUAAGCCGUGGAAGGAGGUGAAAAUACUUGUUGCAGAAACACCUAGCUUUCAAUGCAAAACAGUUUCUUAGUUUGCAUUCAUCCACCUUUUCAGAGUGUUUAUUUAACAAUCUAUAAUCUAGAACUUGCAAGCUAGAUUGCUCAUCCUGGCUGUACUAGUUAUGUAUAAUCUUGAUCUACCAAAAUAAUGAGGGUUCAAUUAAUUGCAGGAAAUGACUUGGUAGUUUACCGAUUUUAUUUAGCAGAAAAUGUUGUGUGAUGAUUGUUGAAUCUCAAGUCAUUUACCUUUGGUGUUGGGAGUUAUUUUCUAGCGAUUUGUUUCUAAUAUUUGGAAUGUUUAAAUUCUUGGCUUUCGCUUUAUGAUUCCAUGUAAUCCUUGUGUGGUGCAAUUGAUUGAAGAUCCUUCUGGGGAUAAUUUAAGCGCGCUACUCGCGUGACAAAAGAUGAAUAGUAUUCAAUUAGGAAAUGCUUUAACUAAAUUUUUUUUUUUUUUUUAAAUAAUUGUUGAACUUUAGAACUUCUAGAGACUUGCAUGAAUGUGGUUUCCGGUUUCAUGGUUGCUAAUUUGCUGUGUUUUUACGAUAAAUGCAUUGUUUGCUGGGAAGUUGCAACCAUUGCAUAGCUACCCUAUAUUGUUGCUGCAGUCGUUUGGGUAAGUUUAAGCAUCUUUUUUUUUUUGGGUAAAGCUAUUUACUGUUUGUACUCUUCUUUUUAUGUUUGUUGAUCUGCCGCCCCUUGCUUUGGAGAAGCUCGUCUAGCAAGUUGUGGAAGAGAGAUCUUUUCUGUUUGUGUUUCAUCUUUCUUUAUGUUUAUCUGCAUGACAGACUGAUGAACUUUGUUGAUCUGUUCGUUUGGAACUGCAUCGAUCGGCAUUGCAUUAUAGGUUCGCUAUCUUUCCUUGGACAGUUAAGCACACGCUUUUUCGCCUUCCUGUCUCCACUGUCACUUCGCUUCAUUGAUUAGCAUUUUGCAUCCGGCACUCAUGGAAUGAUUCAGAACUGAUACCUUGUGAUGCUCGGACUCCUAUGGCUUUCCCCAAGUACCUUUGGUGUCUACAUGGGUACGACUCCUCCAGAACUCUGAACACGGCAGUUUUGGUUUUCAGAUACCAGUGCCGUCGUGGCAUUUUGUGUGUUUUAAUGUCCACGACGUAGAUGAAAAAAGGAGGAACGAGAAGAAGAAACAACUGGCCACAAAAUUUUUAACGCCAUCCAGUUGGAUUAAUACAUCUAAAACCUUAUUGAAAUGAAUAUGGGCUUACUUGUAGAAUUAAUUGGGUCAUGAAUUAAUGAUAUUUGGAGUGGGAAUUGUGGGCUAGCUAAAUAGCUUCAUAUCAAGAAAAAGUACUGGUCUCCAAGAAUUUUCUGUAUAUUUUGUGCGAAGUGAAAUAAUCUCGCUCCCGCAUCCAAAAUUUAAAUAAUUCCAAGCUGUCUCUUGUAAAAUCUUAAAUUUGAGAAGUCCAAAUAUCUGAUAUACGUAUAUGAGUCCGAGCAAUAUAACUUACACAGCCAACGCCUUCAUCAGGAUUAUUGACCACUUGCUCGUUAACAAAAAUUACAAGACAUUUUUUUACAAGUACCAUAGCACUAUGGAUAUGGAUCACAAUGGUGCUAUGUUUAUUUUUCUUCUCCAAAUUUUAUUUUUUAUUUCAUCCUUUCCAGGAUCAAAUUGAUGGCCGAUUUAAUUCAAUUUGUUUAGAGAGGGUAAAAUUCUAAGAUAGAGGAUUAAAAUAGAGGAAAAAACAUAGAAAAUGGGUGGCUGUUUCUAAAUUGCAUGAAAAGUUCACUUUGAUCCUCUUACUUUUCCAAUUAAUUUUUAUUUUGUUCCUUUGGUUUUUUAUUUUUUUUUAAUCAAGAUUUCAUUUUCAUUAUUCUUCAAUCCUCCGUUUGAGAGUGAAGAGAGAGUCGCUAGAUUUCAGUUAAAGAGAAAAUCUUGAUUAACAUUGAUUUUCACAAUGAAAAAACUUUAAUAUUUGUGUUAGCGAAUUUCAUUUGACAAAAAAAGUUUUGGGGUGUUUUUAGAAUUCACAUCGCUUGGAAUGAUAGAUAUGAGUUUGAAAAGAUUUUUAAAUUUUGAUUGAUUUUAAACCAAUUUUAAGGUUAUUCAAGGUCAUAAAUUGAUUUAUCAAUGUCGUAUAGUAUGUUUUUCAGGUGUUUUUGAGUUAAAGUAGAUUGAAAAUCAAAUUUUUAGAUGAAAAAAUAUUCAUGGCCUGACUUUCCAAUGAUCCUCUAGUAGUUGAAACUAGACCUGCAAAUAAUACAUUAUUUACACCAUUUUUUAUAAACAAAUUAAGGGCGCAUGGCGCGCCCUUUGCCCUUUAGUAUAAGAAAAUUAAAAGGACUGGCACACAAGGCAUGUUUUUUUUUUUUUGAUAGGCCAUGCAUGUAUGGCAACGCCCUGCCUGGCCUAUUUCGUUUGUUUUUUUUUCCCCUCUUAUUCUUCCCUCUAAAUUUUACAUUUUAAUCAAUUUAAAUAGAAUGACUAAAAAAUAAUUUAAAAUUUUUUAUUGAAUACCAUUGAAAUUCUAUUUUUUUAUGAAUAACUCUUUUUUUUAUAUUAGCAAACGUUUCUUUUUACAACUCUUCAUGAUUAUUUUAGAUUUUAUUCUAUCACUAUUUUCUUUCUUGUUUGAUUAAAGACUAUUUGACUCAAAUGAAAAAUAUUUCUUUUAUAACAUUUUUUUUAAUAUUAUCCCAUGUUUUUGCAGCCCUUCAUAAUGCUUUUGGCUCCCAAUAAUUUUUUUUACUCAUAAUGAAAAAUUAAAAAUUAUUGCUAACGAAAUACGUUGCUAAUGGUUAUAUUUCUUUUUAGCUAUCCGAUCUACGAACCGAGCCAAUGUACUAGUCCAUCUCUAUUUCAUGUUUGUAAAUUCCAAAAUUUCAACUCAAUUGCAAGUCCCAGUCCCCACUCAGGGCCUGUGUUCAACUAAGCAAUGGAACCCAUUACCCAAAUAUUGCCGAUUAUGCCUCCCAGGCCCAUCCUCGUUUAUCGGGAUCCAAUAAACCGACGUACAAAAUACAGAGGUCUGCAUGCUGGAAGGAGAGGCCAGGAAGGAAAAAAUAAAAUUGGUUUGCGUUUUUUUUUCUGAGCCGACAAUUAAUUAUCACCCUCGGGUUUGUAUUAGUGUAUGCAAGGAGACAUAAUCCACUUUCCAGAUAACGUUAAUGUGGUUUAGGAUUUGGGUAUGUUGGGAAUUUAGUUAAUUAAUCAAAUUAAUCCAUCUAGUGAAGGUGUAUUCCCAGCUAUUUGCCUAGCCAGGCAUUAUCUAAACCUUCCAAUUAAUCCUCGGCCCCCAAAGCAUGUUUGGUAAGAGCUAGUAUUACAAAUACAAUAUGUUAGGAAUUAAGUGUUUUUUUUUUGUCUUUGAAUAAUGAAUAAUGAAUAAUUAUAUUAUCAUGUCAAUAUUUUAUUCUCCAGAUUUAAGGGGGUGGGUGGAUGAUUGGCAGUAGUUUGGUGGGGUUUAGAGAUCUUUAAAUAAUAAAAUCAGUACAAUAAAUAAAAGAAAAAAUCUUAAAAUCCAAAUGGAUAUAGAUACAAUCAAUCCCUUCCCAGUUCCCACCGAUUAAUGAUUUAUCACCCUUGCCUUUACAAUGAAUCAUGCUCAAAAAGCGCCAAAAUACGUAUCCAUCAGUAACAAAACAAAGACACGUUUCCAUGUAUGCAUUGAAUCUUCAUUUUUCAAAAGCAUAUGCCUAACCAGGUGUUAAAUCUGUUGAUUAAUCAAAAAUAUUAUCUUAAAUGUGUUACAUCAAUGGAUAAGUUUUCUUUCCUUGCGAGAGAAAAACGAGAGCGAUUAAAUUGGUUUCAUGUCAUGACAGGACCGUAUCUCUGUUCGAACUCUGGUGGUUAAACCUAAACGGGUGAAUGGAAAUCAGAUAAAGAGAAUCAAUCCAUUAAUUGUUCUUUCGUGAUCACUUUACGUGUCUGCCUACAAGGCGACGUACGUCUCUAUGCGAAGAAGAAAUUACAAAGAAGGAGAAACAGUAUGCUUAAUUAUUUGUUCGUUUCUUAUUCUAUUUUUAGAGGGUACAGUAGCAACCUGGUUCCAUCAUGCAGUCUAUUUUUACAGAAGAAGAAGAGUCUCGUUAUAGAAGAUGAUAGCUCUUUUCAUUGGUAAAAGUUCUUUUAAAAGCUUAUAAAGGAAAAUAAUUUUCUCAAAAACACUAGAUUUUUUUCUCCUUCUGUGGUGCUUAUCUACGCUUGAUUCUAUGCAUGCCCUUUUCUUCUUCUUGUUUUUCUUUUUGGGAGCAAUCUAUGGCAAGUGGUUGUAUUAUUUCACUGGUUUAGAACAAUGCAAUUGAAAUAUAUCAAGUCCUGUAUCGAGAAGUUUGAACUGCUAUGUCUAUCAGCAAUAAAAAGGAGCCUCACUGGCAAAUUAUGGCGAACCAGGCCAGAAACUGAUCCCCAUUAAGUUAAGUUAUGGACUCAAUUGCUCACAAAGUCACAAUCGAUCGCUUUCAUGUUGAACUACAGGGUGAUCGUAAUUAUUACUAUUAUAACUAUAUUAUGACGAUGAACGCAUUAGUUGAAAUAAUUCAAGGUAUUUGAUUAAUUAAUUGGCAAUUAACACUUUCAUAGAGUUUAAUUUCCACGACCCUUUGGUGCGAAUCUGGAAUUUUGGAGUCUGAACAUAAUUAGGUUUCAAGAUAGACUCCAGGCUGUUUUGAUUAGGUUCAGCGAACAAUAGACAAUGAUUAGGUUAAUGAAUUGGUAUAGUUUUUCUUCUUUUUUUCACGGUCAUAAUGGCCUCAAUAACGAGAUAGUCAUGGUUUAGGUAAUGUGCUGUGAAUCAUUAACAAUUUCGAUAUAUUUACAGGCUGCAGGGAUAAGAUCAUCAAAUUGCUUUCUUUGAAAAUGAAACCCGUUAAAGUCUAGACUUUAUCCUCAAGAGAAAGAAAAUAGGAGAAGAAGAAAACUCUUGGCAUAGAAGGCAUUUAUCAUACUAUGAACACAAGAAACGUGCUCUGUUGGUAUUUUAAAAUAAAAAAGACAGGAAGACAUUUAAUUGCAGGGAUAGUAGAGAUAAAAAUAUCAAAAUAAAUAUUUUUUUGAAAUAAUUUUGUAGUAUAUAUCCCUUUCAUCUUAAUUUUCUUUAUCUCUUUUAUAUAAAAAUAAUAAUAACUAAACACAAUUUAAACAUGAUUAUUGUUUUUUUAUAAGCCAAUAAUCAUAUUAUGAUACAGCUGCUGGAAACAAGAGCAUAAAGGCAGAUAAGAAAACCCCUGCGUCCUGUACAAUGAAGAUCCCAGGUUGUGCAGAAAUGGAGAAAUGUACAAUCAUUUUAGCUUCAGGAAAAGUAAAUUGGGUGUUUUAUAAUAUAUAGGUGUAUCGUGAUAUAAUGAAAGUUGUUUUUUGAAAUAUUUUUUUAUUUAAAAAUAUAUUAUAAUAAUAUUUUUUUUAUUUUAAAAAAUUAGUUUUGAUAGUAAUAUAUUAAAAUUUACUUAACUAUUUGAAAACGUAAUACAAAAAAUUAGCUUGUUUAGAAGUAUAAUUAUGGUUUUUUUUUUUCAAAUGUUUUUUAUUUAGAAAUAUAUUAAAAUAAAAUUUUUUAUUUUUUAAAAAUAAUUUUUGACAGUAGGGAUUAAAAUGAUCCAAAACAUUAAAAAUUUAUUAAUUUAAAAUAAAAAAUAAAAAAAAUUAAUUUUUUAAAUAUUUUUAAAAUAAAAAAUAAACAUGGCUUUUCGUCUUCCCAUAACACGAACGUACAUUUCGAACUUUUAUUUAUUUCUUUAUUCACAAAACGUCAUGCGCUCCAUUUCUCCGCCACAGGCGUUAGUUCUGUCUUUCACCAACUCUUCCGUACAGAUCUGUUGUUUACUUGCUCAAAGGCACGUGAGAUGAAGUCGUGGAGAUUGAUAACUUUCUUCGCAAAUAACCAUCACACAUGUAUCCGCCCCCCUCUAAUUCACGCAUCUUUUAAACGUAAACAAAAUAUAUUUUCUGCAUUUAUUCUUUUAAAAUAUUUUAGUCAGUUUAUUUUGCAUAAAAAAAAUUAUAUUUGUUUAUAAAAAGUAUUUUUUUAUAUUGAUUUCUCUUAAAAUAUUUUACAGAAAAAAUAAUCAAUAAAAAAUAUUUUAUAAUCUAUUUUCAAACAUGAUUUAUUUUCGUAAAAAUAAUUUUAGUUUAUAAAAUAUUUUACAAAUAAUAUUUUACUUAUAAUAUCAUUUAAUUAUUCUUAUCAUCGUCAACACCACUAUCUCUUCCUUGUCCACAAGCUUCCCAUUCAUCGUUGUUAUCAUUUUUGUUUUCCACCAUUACUAUUAUUUCAUCACCACAAUCACUAUCUUCUUUUCCUUUACUAUCAUUAAAAAAAAUAUUUUAUAAGAUAUUAUUUUUGAAAAAUAAAUAUUGAAAAAUAUUUUAUGCUGAAGGGUGUUAUGGAUAUAUAGAAGAACAAUAAUAUUGCAUCUUCUUGUUAUAUGAGAGAUAAAAUUAAUUGAAAGGAGUCUUUAUUAUUCAUUUUGGUCUCCAGUUAAAAGUGUUAUAAUUGCGAAUUAAUCUAAUCCGAAGUUAAUAUUUUUUUUCUUCUUGAUUAGCUAGACUUUUAAACGUAAACAAAAUAUAUUUUUCUGCAUUUAUUCUUUUAAAAUAUUUUAGUCAAUUUAUUUUGCAUAAAAAUUUUUAUAUUUGUUUAUAAAAAGUAUUUUUUUAUAUUGAUUUCUCUUAAAAUAUUUUACAGAAAAAAUAAUCAAUAAAAAAUAUUUUAUAAUCUUCUUUCAAACAUGAUUUAUUUUCAUAAAAAUAAUUUUAGUUUAUAAAAUAUUUUACAAAUAAUAUUUUACUUAUAAUAUCAUUUAAUUAUUCUUAUCACCGUCAACACCACUAUCUCUUCCUUCUCCACAACCUUCCCAUUCAUCAUUGUUAUCAUUUUUGUUUUCCACCAUUACUAUUAUUUCAUCACCACAAUCACUAUCUUCUUUUCCUUUACUAUCAUUAAAAAAAAUAUUUUAUAAGAUAUUACUUUUGAAAAAUAAAUAUUGAAAAAUAUUUUAUGCUGAAGGGUGUUAUGGAUAUAUAGAAGAACAAUAAUAUUGCAUCUUCUUGUUAUAUGAGAGAUAAAAUUAAUUGAAAGGAGUCUUUAUUAUUCAUUUUGAUCUCCAGUUAAAAGUGUUAUAAUUGCGAAUUAAUCUAAUCCGAAGUUAAUACUUUUUUUCUUCUUGAUUAGCUAGACUUUUAAACGUAAACAAAAUAUAUUUUCUGCAUUUAUUCUUUUAAAAUAUUUUAGUCAAUUUAUUUUGCAUAAAAAUUUUUAUAUUUGUCUAUAAAAAGUAUUUUUUUUAUAUUGAUUUCUCUUAAAAUAUUUUACAGAAAAAAUAAUCAAUAAAAAUAUUUUAUAAUCUGUUUUCAAACGAUUUAUUUUUUGUAAAAAUAAUUUUAAUUUAUAAAAUAUUUUACAAAUAAUAUUUUACUUAUAAUAUCAUUUAAUUAUUCUUAUCACCAUCAACACCACUAUCUCUUCCUUCUCCACAACCUUCCCAUUCAUCAUUAUUAUCAUUUUUUUUUCCACCAUUACUAUUAUUUCAUCACCACAAUCACUACUUUUCCUUUACUAUCAUUAAAAAAUAUAUUUUAUAAGAUAUUAUUUUUGAAAAAUAAAUAUUGAAAAAUAUUUUAUGCUGAAGGGUGUUAUGGGUAUAUAAAAGAGCAAUAAUAUUGAAUCUUGUUGUUAUCUGAGAGAUCAAAUUAAUUGAAAGAAGUCUUUAUCAUUCACUUUGGUCUCCAGUUAAAAGUAUUAUAAUUGCGAAUUAAUCUAAUCCAAAGUUAAUAAUUUUUUUUUCUUGAUUAAUUAGCAUUGCUUAAGUAUAUAUUUCAAGUGGUAUAUUUAAGAGUCGGUGAUUAAAAUAAUUCAACUAGCUAGGGAACUGAACGUGACUAAUCAAAUCUACAACUGGUCAUAGCAAGAAUUUUAAAUUGGGUUACAGUUUGGUAGCACAUUAAUCCAAAAGGGAUUUUACCUUUGCAUAUAUAUAUAUAUAUAUAUAUAUAUAUAUAUAUAUAUAUAUAUAUAUUGAAAGCAAUGGUAUUAUAAAUGACUUUUAGGUGAAUUGAAAUUAAAAGCGUGUUUGGAAACGUGAUUAUGGUUAUUUUUUAAAGUAUUUUUUAUUUAGAAAUAUAUUAAAAUAAUAUUUUUUUUAAAAAAAAUAUUUUUGAUAUUAGCAUAUUAAAAUAAUCAAAAAAUAUCAAAAAAUAUUAAAUUGAAGUAGAUAAAAAAAUAAUUUUUUUUAAUUUUAAAAAAAAUAAAAAACAAACUUACCUGAUAAAUACCAUACACCAAGACAUGGAUUACAAAAAUAAAAUGAUUAUGUUUUUUUUUUUUUAAAGAAACCAACAACCUUGCUAUAAGAUGCAAUAAGGUAUUUUUUGCUUUUGGCAAGAUUAUACUGGUAUCACAGUCAAAUUGUAUAUUUAAUAUGUUAAUUAAGGUGGAUUUGAGUUGAGUUUUUUUGGUUAUCAUUGUUUUUCACUUUAUUUACCAUAUGUUAUAUUUUUUAUUUAUAUUAUUAAAUUAAUUGAGUAGAUUAAAUACGUUAAUAAUUCAAAUUCAAUUUUUUUUUUUUUGCUUUUUCUAAAACGAUUGCAUCACCUUAAUAUUUUUUUUAGGCUAAAAAAAACUGAGGCGGCAAACGAUACAGCAUGAACUAUCUAGUAAUUUCUAAGCUCAUUAAAGGCAUGCAAAAAUCAAAAUGUGGAGACAGCUUAGACUGGAGAAAGUACUUUUUUUUUUACUUCCAACUAUGAGAGAGAGGGAGGGAGGGAGGGAGAGGGAGGGAGAUAACGUAGCCGCCUGGUCCCUCAGCGAGAAGAAAAAAAAAGUCAGAGAAGUUAGGCCAUUUUUUUUUUCUUUUUUAUAGCUAGCUUCUGGCUGAGAAAUUGAUUUAGAAGUUACAUUGGCUAAAAAACAAAGGACAUAUGGAUAUAGUACAAUUAUAAGACUAUAUUCAAGAUUAGUUUGGUUCUAGAUCUGAGUCACGUAUCAGUGGUUACACUCUGUCUUUUUCUUUUUCUUUUUUAAUAGAAAAACUAAAACUACAUUGUUUUGAUAAAAAAAAACAUGUCUUUCCGUUUACUCAUGAAUUAGGUGAAGUCCCGAGCUAGCUAGUCAUCAUGAAUUAGGUGGUAAAUUAUCUGGUUGGUCCGCAGACCAAGCCAAUGUACGUAGUCUUCACAAUAAUUAAACAAAAUCUAUUCACAGUAACAUUGUUUCAAGUGAACACAUAUAGUACUUGAAUUAGUUAUUCAAUUUCCAUACCUUUCACCAAGGUUAUAAACUUCUCCAAAGUAUAUUUUACCAUGAUUGGUUUGCUGCUACGUGUUCAAGGGCAAAAACCAAAUCUAUAUAAAGAGAAGCGAGGGUUGCCUAAGAAGCAGAACAAGAUCUAUUCUGUAGUGAAGUUUGCAAAAAUGGGGUCUCCAAUGGCCUCUCUCCUUGCCACUCUUUUAGUGGCAACAAUCUCUCUCAGCUUGCCAUCAGAAAGCACAGCAGACUACAAGUACUCCUCUCCUCCACCUCCUAAGAAAUCCCCUCCACCACCACCUCCUCCUUAUCACUACAAAUCCCCACCACCUCCUCCUCCAGUGCAUUCUCCGCCACCACCAGUGCACCCUUACAAGUACAAGUCACCACCACUUCCUCCACCAGUGCACAAGCCUCCACCUACACCACCAACGCACCCUUACAAGUACAAGUCUCCACCGCCUCCUCCAGUGCAUUCUCCACCACCACCAGUGCACCCUUACAAGUACAAGUCACCACCACUUCCUCUACCAGUGCAUAAGCCACCAACGCACCCUUACAAAUACAAGUCCCCACCACCUCCUCCACCUUCACCACCAACGCACCCUUACAAGUAUAAGUCCCCACCACCUCCACCAGUGCACAAGCCUCCACCUUCACCAACGCACCCUUACAAGUACAAGUCUCCCCCACCACCUCCAGUUUACAAGUCCCCUCCACCACCUCCUCCAGUUUACAAGUCGCCACCUCCUCCUCCUCACAAGAAGCCAUACAAAUAUAAAUCUCCACCACCUCCUACUCCAGUUUACAAGUACAAGUCUCCUCCACCACCACCACCAGUACACAAGUCUCCACCACCACCUCAUUACAUUUAUGCAUCACCCCCUCCACCUCACCAUUACUAGAUCAUGGCGCUCAUAGUUUCAAGGUACAUGCACGUACGAUUAUUUUGACAAUGCCAAGUAUAUAUAUCUUAAUUAAUAAGUCUCUGAAAACAUAAUGUCAGGUCAAAAUAUUUCAGUGCAGCAUUGCAUUGAAUUAAUUGAUUACUAAGUUUUUUUUUUUCACACAAAUUAAUAUUUAUCGUUUAAAGAUGCACCGGUACUGACAGAUCCAAUGUAUAUGUUUUUACAGGUAAAUGGAAGAGUAUCAUGCAAUAAGGAAAAGGAUGCGAGCAGGAGCUAGCCUUGCAAGGAAGGAAAGGAUAGCUAAUGCGUAUAACGGAGCAAUCUGUGUUUUAUUUAGAAGAUGAAUAAAAAUACAUGUAGUAGAAUUUCCUCAUUUUCAUGUACUAUUACAGAGGUCUGGUACCGGUGAUCGGUUUGCUUAUUUGGUCUGUCGAAAAGUAGCUUAUAUAUAUGUAUGUAUGUGAUUUGAAACCUUUUGUGUGCUGUUGCGUGCAUGGUUGUUUUCAUAUGAAGUGGUAAGAUUAAUAAAAUAAUCUUUAACCAAAACAGAAGGUUACGCUUCACUUCUUUUUAUUAGCAUAUUUUUAUUUUAGUCACCGCGCGCAGUUUCGUUUAAGUGUAACAAACAUCUACUACUUUGUAAAACCGGCAUGCUUGACUAGCUAGCCAGUACAGAAAGAAGAGCUAGCUAGUAUCCUUGGUAGCUAGCUAGCCAGUACGAAACCGUUAAUUUCCCCAGGACCCUUGGUAGAAUUCUUGAACAGUUAAUGGACUCGCCUAGGCGCCGUUAGGUACGCGGUGGAGUUAUUUUUGGUUCUUUAGCUGGACAUCUGACGAGCAUUUUCUGGAUAUAAAUUAGAUUCAUCCAGCUUGCUAUUAUUCUGAUCACUUGUUUCAGUUACGUAUAUAUAUGUUGCUAAAUAUAUAGUCUUUCUGCAGUAGCUUUUCAUUUUUCAUAACAAGAUCUCUUGCCAGCAAUUCCCCGCUACUAAUUGACAACAAAUUAAUAUUUAUGUUAUCCUAGACUUGCAUUCAGUAAUAAGAAUCUCGGUAUAGUGAUUUUCUUUUCUUUUCUUUUUAUAUGUAGUGUGAACGUUGCCAAAAUAUGAAUGGAAAGAUGUGGAAAAUAUUUAAUAAAUAAAACCAGUGAUUUAGUUCUAGAAAGUCCGCACUGAAGGAAUUAAAAUGUCAAAACUGGGAAGCGCAAAGGACAAAUUUUGCGCACACUCUUCUCUAUAUGCGUUCACAUGCUAUUUGAUAUAUAAUGCAAGAGCAAGCUUUCUAUAGUCAUUAUCUUUUUUGGUAAUCAAGACAAGAUGAAAGGGGGUAAGCUGGAAAGGCAAGUGCUGUCUAGCUAGCUAGUAAAGCAACCAUUAGUAGUCUUCCUUGUUUGCAACUUGCAACUUGCAACAGCCCCAAUCACGGAAAGAUAAAAACGGAUAUUCGUCCACACAGGGAGAAGUUUUGCAAUCUACUGAUUCUUAUCUGAUGCCUACAUCAUGUCUUGCUUCUAGUUAAUUAAUGGCAUAUAUCACCCUGAAUUUUAAUUUUGUCUUCUAAUUAAUGCUCUUCAUCGCAAAUACUCUGUUUAGUAAUGCUAUCAAGUGCUAACAUGUUGCUUUUACAUUAAUAUAGAUGUGUACAUAUCUUUCUUUUCUAUGAGCUAUGAGCCUUUCUUCGAUUUCUGAAAUGCAGUACUAAGUAACCUAAUGCCCUAUGGUCUUAUUUCGUAUCACUAAAAUCGGCUAAAACUGCAGGUUAAUUUCUAAAGAGGCAUGCAUGCCAUAAUUUCAAGAGCAAUAAAAAUCGACCCCUUAAUUACACCAGUAAAACACUACAUGCAUGUCACUGAAGUUGAAGAUCAUGACAGAUCAUUGAUGGUAUCAGCCAUUAUCAUUCAGCUAGAUAUAUAGUACAGUGAGAUUUCCUUUUAUUUCUGCUCUCUCGCACAGCUAUGCAUAUAAUAUUGACAUCUUUAUUUUAGGUUUAGUUUCUUGGCAUUGAUCUGCAGCGUAGAUUCAGCUAUCUCUGUUCUGUAUACAUUAUGCUUUGCAACAACGUAAUUAUUCAUAAGCGAUACAUAUUGAAAGAACUAUGGAUUGCACGAUAACCAUAAGCUAAACUGAAAGGGAGAGUGAAUCAUGCCAUGAAUCAAACUGUCUAUUUUAAAAUUUUACUUAAUUGUUUGAAAAUGCAAUACCAAAAACUAUUAUGUUUGAAAGUGUGGUUAUAUUGUUUUUCCAAGUGUUUUCUUAAAAAUAUAUUAAAAUAAUAUUUUUAAUUUUAAAAAAUAAUUUUUGAUAUUAGCGAAUUAAAAUAAUUUAAAAAUAUAAAAAAUAUAUAAAUUUAAAAUAAAAAAAUAUAUUUAUUUAUUUUUCAAAUAUUUUUAAAAUACAAAAAUUAACAUGGUUUCGUCUUCCCAUAACACGAACGUACAUUUCGAACUUUUAUUUAUUUUUGUAUUCACAAAACGUCAUGCGCUCCAUUUCUCCUCCACAGGCGUUAGUUCUGUCUUUCACCAGCUCUGCCGUACAGAUCUAGUGUUUACUUGCUCAAAGGCACGUGAGAUGAAGUCGUGGAGAUUAAUAACUUUCCUCGCAAAGAACCAUCACACUUGUAUCCGGCCCGGUCUAAUUCACGCAUCUUUGAAACGUAAACAAACAAUAUUUUCUGCAUUUAUUCUUUUAAAAUAUUUUAGUCAAUCUAUUUUGCAUAAAAAAAUAUUUUUUUAUAUUUUUUUAUCUUCAAAUAUUUUACAGAAAAAAUAAUUUAUAAAAAAUAAUUUAUAAUCAGUUUUCAAACAUGAUUUGUUUUCUAAAUAAUAAUUAUAGUUUAUAAAAUUCUAUAAAAUAUUUUACAAGUAAUAAUUUACUUAUUAUAUCAUUUAAUUAUUUUUACCACCACUUCUUCCUUCUCCACAACCUUCCCAUUCAUUAUUAUUAUAACUUUUUUUUUCCACCAUUAUUAUUAUUUCAUCACUACAAUCACUAUCUUCUUUUCCUUUAUUAUCAUUAAAAAAAUAUUUUAUAAGAAAUUAUUUUUUAAAAAUAAAUAUUGAAAAAUAUUUUAUGCUGAAGGGUGUUAUUGGUACAUAGAAGAAGAAUAAUAAUAUUGCAUCUUGUUGUUAUCUGAAAGAUAAAAUUAAUUGAAAGGUAUCUUUAUCAUUCAUUUUGAUCUCUAGUUAAAAGUAUUAUAAUUGCGAGUUAAUCUAAUCCGAAGUUAAUGCUUUUUUUCUUGAUUAGCUAGCAUUGCUUACGUAUUUGGAGUCGUAUAUUUAAGAGUCGGUGAUUAAAAUAAUUCAACUAGCUAGAGAACUGAACGUGACUAAUCAAAUCUUGAACAUGGUCAUAGCAAGAAUUUUAAAUUGGGUUACAGUUUGGUAACACGUUAAUCCAGAAGGGAUUUUACCUUUGCAUAUAUAUAUAUAUAUAUAUAUAGAAAGCAAUGAUAUUAGAAAUGACUUUUAGGUGAAUUGAAAGUAAAAAUAUGUUUGGAAAUGUAAUUGUGAUUGUUUUUUAAAGUAUUUUUUUAUUUAAAAAUAUAUUAAAAUAAUUUUUUUAUAAUUAUUUUUUAUAUCAACGUACUAAAAUGAUUUUAAAAUAUUAAAAAAUAUAUUAAAUUGAAGUAAAUAAAAUAAAAUUUUAAUUAUUUUUAAAAUACAAAUACAAACAAGAUUUGAGUACAAAUAUAAACUGAUAGAAAAAAAACACUGUAUGUUUAUUCUAUGGGUAGCUAUUGUCAUGUGAAAUUUUUGUUUUAAAAAAAUCUUCUACUAUACACCAAUACAUGGAUUACAAAAAUAAAAUGAUAAUGUUUUUUUUUUUUUUUUUAAGAAACCAACAACCUGGUAUAAGAUGUAAUAAGGUAUUUUUUUGCUUUUGGCAAGAUUAUAGUGGUAUCACAGUCAAAUUGUUUAUUUAAUAUGUUAAUUAGGGUGGAUUUGAGUUGAGUUUUUUUGUUAUCAUUGUUUUUCAUUUUUUUACCAUUGUUAUAUUUUUUAUUUAUAUUAUUAAAUUAAUUGAAUUUAUUAAAUACGUUAAUAAUUCAAAUUCAUUUUUUUUUUGCUUUUUCUAAAAUGACUGCAUCACCUUAAUAUUUUUUUUAGGCUAAAAGAAACUGAGGCGGCAAACGAUACAGCGUGAAGUACCUAUCUAGUAAUUUCCAAGCUCAUUAAAGGCAUGCAAAAAUCAAAAUAUGGAGACAGAUUAGACUGGAGAAAGUACUUUUUUUUUUUUACUAGAGAGAGUAGCCGCCUGGUCCCUCAGUGAGAAGAAAAAAAAAGUCAGAGAAGUUAGGCCAUUUUUUUUUUCCUUUUUUAUAGCUAGCUUCUGGUUGAGAAAUUGAUUUAGAAGUUACAAUGGCUAAAAAACAAAGGACAUAUGGAUAUAGUACAACUAUAAGACUAUAUUCAAGAUUAAUUUGGUUCUAGAUAGUCAUGUAUCAGUGGUUACACUCUGUCUUUUUCUAAAAUAAUAAAAAAAACUAAAACUACAUUGUUUUUACAAAAAAAACAUGUCUUUCCGUUUACUUGUGAAUUAGGUGAAGUCCCGAGCUAGCUAGUCAUCAAGAGUUAACCUUUUUUUCUGAGGCGGUAAAUUAUCUGGUUGGUCCGCAGACCAAGCCAAUGUACGUAGUCUUCACAAUAAUUAAACAAAAUCUAUUCACAGUAACAUUGUUUCAAGUGAACACAUAUAGUACAUGAAUUACUUAUUCUAUUUCCACACCUUUCACUAAGGUUAUAAACUUCUCCAAAGUAUAUUUUACCAUGAUUGGUUUGCUACGUGUUCAAGGGUAAAAACCAAAUCUAUAUAAAGAGAAGCGAGGGUUGCCUAAUAGAAGCAGAACAAGAUCUCUUUUGUAGUGAAGUCGGCAAAAAUGGGGUCUCCAAUGGCCUUUCUCCUUGCCACUCUCUUAGUGGCAACAAUCUCUCUCAGCUUGCCAUCAGAAAGCACAGCAGACUACAAGUACUCCUCUCCUCCACCUCCUAAGAAAUCCCCUCCACCACCACUUCCUCCUUAUCACUACAAAUCCCCACCACCUCCUCCUCCAGUGCAUUCCCCACCACCACCAGUGCACCCUUACAAGUACAAGUCACCACCACCUCCUCCACCAGUGCACAAGCCUCCACCUUCACCACCAACGCAUCCUUACAAGUACAAGUCCCCACCACCUCCUCCACCAGUGCACAAGCCUCCACCUUCACCACCAACGCACCCUUACAAGUACAACCACCUCCUCCAGUGCAUUCUCCACCACCACCACACGCACCUUACAAGUACAAGUCUCCACCGCCUCCUCCAGUGCAUUCUCCACCCCCUCCUCCAUCGCCAGUUUACAAGUACAAGUCUCCCCCACCACCUCCGCCAGUUCACAAAUCACCACCCCUACCACCCAAGAAGCCCUACAAGUAUAAGUCUCCCCCACCACCUCCACCAGUUCACAAGUCACCACCCUACCACCCAAGAAACCCUACAAGUAUAAGUCUCCACCGCCUCCUCCAGUGCAUUCUCCACCCCCUCCUCCAUCGCCAGUUUACAAGUACAAGUCUCCCCCCACCUCCGCCAGUUCACAAGUCACCACCCUAUCACCCAAGAAGCCUACAAGUAUAGUCUCCCCCCACCUCCCAGUUCACAAGUCACCACCCCUACCACCCAAGAAACCCUACAAGUAUAAGUCUCCCCCACCACCUCCAGUUUACAAGUCCCCUCCACCACCUCCUCCAGUUUACAAGUCGCCACCUCCUCCUCCUCACAAGAAGCCAUACAAAUAUAAAUCUCCUCCUCCAGUUUACAGUCGCCACCUCUCUCCUCACAAGAAGCCAUACAAAUAUAAUCUCCACCGCCUCCUACUCCAGUUUACAAGUACAAGUUCCUCACCACCACCAGUACAAGUCUCCCACCACUCAUUACAUUUACGCAUCACCCCCUCCACCUCACCAUUACUAGAUCAUGGCGCUCAUAGUUUCAAGGUACAUGCACGUACGAUUAUUUUGACAAUGCCAAGUAUAUAUAUCUUAAUUAAUAAGUCUCUGAAAACAUAAUGUCAGGUCAAAAUAUUUCAGUGCAGCAUUGCAUUGAAUUAAUUGAUUACUAUGUUUUUUUUUCCACACAAAUUAAUAUUUAUCGUUUAAAGAUGCACCAGUACUGACAGAGAUCCAAUGUAUAUGUUUUUACAGGUA
rnacentral:lncRNA from 1 species